rnacentral:lncRNA from 1 species
AGGAUCUCACCCAGUGGGUAUCUUCUGUUGCUGUUGCAUGAUGGGUGUGAGCAAUCACACCAUUGUCGAGGGAUGUGAUGUUCUUUUCUUGAAUGGUUUGUACCUAGGGUUACAGCAGUCCACCUGUGUUUCAUACAUCUGUCUUGUGACAUUUUUGUGUUGAGUUGUCAGAACACAUCCUUUAUGCUCUCUGUACCAGAAAACUGUCGUGCCCCUUUCAUCGUAUCUUAUGCAUGCUGUUCCGAAAACUGUUUCUUCCUUUUUUUGGUGCGCCAAACUUUCAUUCAUUAGAUGUUGCAUCAGAACUGGGUGCCAAUCAUGACUGGUGAUAUAGCCAUUCACUUCCAAUGAUCUUUUCUAGAGGUUACUUGCCGCUAUGGGUUUGUGUUGGUUAAACUUUUCUAAGUUUGACUAGGUUUGUAGAAAACAUUAGCAUCAUUUAUAUAAACAUUAGCAUCAUUUAUAUCUUCAGAUAAAUUUAUUAUGAAAAUAUAUUCAACGAUUCAUCUAAUAUUAGAUACUACUUAUGCACAGUAAUUAUUAAUAUUUUCUUAUAUAUAUUUGGUCAAAGUUGAUAAUUUUUUAUUUGUCGAGAGGUGAGAAUGACACUCUUUAUACACGGAUGGAGUAUGCAAGAAAAUUUUAAUACAUGUUUAUUUCACAUUGCAAAUAAAGCAUACAUUGUCUAUGAAAGCAGAUCGAUACCACUGAUAUAUACAAAUAUAAAUACUUCUUAGACUCGAAUUCAGGCAUGGAUAUGUGUCCAAUAUGCUUAUGAAACGAUAGUUUUGGUUAGUGAAUACUACUCCCUCCAUGUUUGAAUUUUUUUGACUCCAAGUUUCAUGGCUCGUCUUAUUUUUUAAAAAAAAUUAUACAAACAUAGUCAAAUUUAAGUCAUUCUAAAGAACUUUAGAAAAAGUCUACAUAACCUUCCAAAUUAUGGACUACUUCACCCUUGAACUUUCAAAACCGAUUAAAUAACCCCAUCAAGUGGUUUUGGAGGUUUUUGGAGGGUGGUUUUGUAUUUUUCUUUAUUUAUUUAUUUUCGUUGAAUCUUUGAAAAAUCAUAAUAAAUCACAGAAAAAAUCAUAAAAUGAAAAAUUCAAUUUUGUUAGACUCCUAAUGAGUAGAUCUAUAUAGUGAAUAUAUAAUAUGGUAUAUUUUAGUACAAAGUUUUGUUGUAGCUUUAAAUCUAUGUUUUUCUGUAAUUAAUAAGAAUAAUUUAUAUAUGUAGUUCCUAUGGUUCGCUUAUGGUAAAAUUUUUAUGGUGGUAUGCUUGAUAAAAGUUUCGUACCCAUUGGAUCACGUAUCACUUAGUUAUAGAUGUAUUUAGCUUUAUUCUUGUUAAAUCUAUGUUUUAUUGAUAACUAAGUUAUACGUGAUCCAAUGAGUAUGAAUUUUUUACCAUAGUUCAAACAUACAAUAAUGAGCUCUUCAUAAAAAUUUUACCACAAUUAGACCAUAAGAACUACAUAUAUAAAUUAUUCAAAUUAAUUACAGAAAAACAUAGAUUUAAAGCUACAACAAAAAAUUUAUACUAAAGUAUAUCAUAUUAUAUAUUCACUGUGUAGAUCUACUCAUAAGUAGUCCAACAGAAUUAAAUUUUUUAUUUUAUCAUUUUUUUGUAAUUUAUUAUGAUUUUUCAAAGAUUCAGUAAAAAUAAAUAAAAAAAAGACAAAACCACCCUCUAAAACCCCUCUAAAACCACUCGAGGGGGUUAUUUGACCGGUUUUAAAAGUUCAGGAGUAUAAUAUCCGGUUUUAUAGUUCGGAGGUGAAGUAGUCCAUCCUACAUAGUUUAGGGGUUAUGUAGAUUUUUUCCAAGAACUUUUAUUAAUAAACUAAGCAGCGAUAAAAAAGUGAUAUUUUGCACAAAUUUUUAAAUAAGACGAGUGGUCAAACCUGGUGUUAAAAAAGUCAAACUUCUUAUAAUCUAGGAUGGAUUGACUAAAUUGAAUUAGUGAGCUACAUAACCGUGAACCAUCCAAUUUUUUUUUAUUUUUUAAAGGUGAUUACCUCUGCUUAUAGAUAAAUUGAAAGCAACGCCACGAGCCUGGAAACUGGGAAACCAGUGUGCAAAGCUAGAGUUCAAACCAAAUCUCGCCAAUGUUGGAUAUUCCUAAUUUUGAACUGCGUCGCCCAACACAGCAUGCUGUUGAUGACAGCUUGCAUCUUUCCUUGGUACUAUUACAACACCAUCCACUUCUGCAGAAAAUAUGUCCAGUUCCUUUGUACAGACACCCCAUGAGUCUGAAAGUGGUAGAGAGUAGUAAAUUUGACUUAUCUAGCCCCCCCAGGAAACUCUCCUCUCUUCAUUACAGUGGGAGAUUUUGUCCAACAGAUCAAGAAGAUCCUCUUAGGGAGACGACCUCCAUUGCUAAAACUUCUUCUACAAAAAGGUUGACCAUUCUCCUGCUACAUGAACAUUCAACCACCACUAGUAUAGUGUCCGUGCUAAUGUUACGACAUUAUUUUGAGGAUACACAUGUAACCAACCAAACAUGAUGCAGUAUCAAUGUUGAACAAAGUCUGCUUAAUCAUGCUUGCAAUCGACCAUGACCAUGGCCUGCUGCCCCAUACAUUGUUGUUCUUUGUUUCUAACAAACAAUGGCUAGUGGUGACCAGUGGCAGCUGAAAGCAUGUAGUAUCACAAUCACAUCAUGGUAUAUGCAAAAUCUAUUUUCACAGGAUGCAACACUGAGGUAUAUUUUUUACCAUCUUGGCGGGAAAUUAAGGCCUAAAUGGACAACACUUAAAUAUUAAACAUACUGUGAAUGUUGUAUUUAAAAUUCAUAUCGCAAUUCUCAUCAGCAUACAUCCAGCAUAUAAGAGCUUAAGCAUCAAAAACACCAUAUUCAUUCAUUGAUUAAAGCACUUUUCUUUCAGUUUCUUAUACACAAAAAGUCUGACAAGGCGCAUCUGCACCUUAGGGCAUUAAGCCAGUAUAAAGUAACUUGGAUUUCCACCGCAUUACUCCAAAUGAAUGUGUCUGCAUCACACCUACCUAUUUUGACACAUUCAUUUAACAAAAGAUAUGAUUUACCUCUGCAUUACCAACACAGGAGAAAGAACAUAGGACACUUGUUAUGAUAUAAAUAGCUCAUGUCUUCAUCCCGAAUUUAUGCUCAGGCUACUACAAAUCAUCAGACCAACAAGUCCCAAAUAAUCCUGAGCGACAAAUGAAAGCCAUUCAUGCCAAUGUGCACAAUCUCAAGUUGGGGCCACUACUAAAACAUAUCACACUUGCAUGCAAUGCAAUAAAGCAGAAUUCAGCCAUCAAGACAUACACUUAGCACGACAGCACAACUCAUAGAUCAAACAUGAACACUCAAAAAGAUGGUUUAACAACAUCUUACUGUUUGAAAAUGGAAAAAAUAAAAUAAAAUAAAAUAAAAUAACAUAUACUUGUCAUAUACAAAUGUAGCCAUGCUGUCAAAUCUCAAGAAACGAGAAACAGGCCUUUGCAAUUUAUCUUUAGUAGAGCAUUUGUGAGAUACUGAUCAUUGACUCCAGUUGGUGCCACACACUGUAACAACCCAAAUUCAGCAAGGCAUUUCUUUUUCCAAGGCCCUGUAAAGGUCAAUGGCACAAGAGAAAAAUUACCACUAAAUAGAUUGGUUUUUAUUUUCCUAAUUGGUUAACAAUAAUUUAUAGGGCAAGAGGCAUACAAAACAUACAAUAAACUUUUAACAUUGUUAUGAAGGGUGGAAUGCAUUAAGGCAAGAAAAUUAUAUAGCAGGAACAGGUUGACUUGUAGUUACAUAAUUAAAUUUACAUGGCUACCGCAAUUCCAACUUUAUUUGAGAGAAAAAACAGCAAUAUGUAUAAAAAAAGAUCUAAUAAAAUGAUGGUGGGGUAACGAUCUAAACUUAAAUUGUAAAUAAAUGAAAAUGAAAGGUAUCCACGACUUAAUGAACUCCCUCUCACUUCAAAUUUAAAACAUUAAAGAAAGAAGCACCCAUCUCACUCCAAGCAUAGACACCUUGUUAGUAUGUACUCAGAGGAAAAAAAGCAUCAUAACAAAAACCGUGUGGUAUGACCACUAUAGUAUGGCAUCCGACAAACAUAUAUUGUGUAGCGGGUAGCACGCAUGGUUAUCAACCUUUUAUAUCAUUUUGAUACCAAGUGUUUUAGCUUGCUGAUGAAGGGUCAAGAUGACGGACUAGAGGGGGGUGAAUAGUCCUUUCUAAAACUUAAACGCACUAGCUAACCAAAACAAAAGCGGAAUUAAAACUAUCGGUCUAGCCAAGACUAUACCCCUCUAUCUAAGUUCUCUAGCACCUCAUAAAAGAUCCUAAACAAACAAACAAGGUGCUACCUUAGCUAGAGCUCACCUAACCAAUUCUAGAAGCAAGGUCACACAAACCUAUGCCACUAGUACUUUGCAAACCGAGGAGCUCCUACACAACUAGUAAGCAAAAGCACAAAGCUUCUAAGCUCACUAGCAAAGCUCAAUAAUAAGGCAACUAAUGCCAAAUUAGAGAGCGCAACUUACAUAGCUACACAAACUAAGCAAAGUGACUAACAAGGUUACACAAACUAAGCAAAGUGACUAACAAGGUUACACAAACCAAAUUAGCCACGCAAGGGAACUACUUCUAGCUACACUAGAGAGAAGAUAACUAGCAAGCUACACAAGCUAACUAAUUACAAGAGCAACUACACAAGCACAAGUAUAUAAAGAAUGUAAAUACAAGUUCCUGUAUAGUGAAUGCAAACCACCGAGAAGAGUAGACAAUGUUGACACGGUGAUUUUUAUCGAGGUUUACUUGGUUGCCACCAAGCUACGUCCUUGUUGUGGCGAUUCAUCCACCUGAUGGAUCACGAGCUAAUUGGCAAUCCGAAGCCAAACCCUCAGCAGGUGCUGCACAUCCACUCUCAAGAUGGGGAUCCUCCAAGCCACAAGCAAUCCACUAGAGUUGCUCUUCGUGAUCCGCGCGGGGUGAGCACCGUACCCCUCACAAUCUCUUCUCCGGAGCACCACACAAUCUUCUUGCGUGCUUCGAUGGAGUCACAAGACACCAAACCAUCUAGGAGGUGGCAACCUCCAAGAGUAACAAGCACCACCGACUUGUAACACGAACACCUAGUGCCACUCGAUGCAAUCUCUCAAUGCAACACACUAGAAUCGCUCACUCACACAAUCGAAUGAUCACUAUCAAGCAUAUGUGAGUUAGAGGCUUCACUAGCACUCCCCAAGCAUGGACACUAAGUCCCAAGGGUGCUCCACACCAGCCAAGGCCGACCACCACUUCUAUUUAUAGCCCCAAGGGCUAAACUAGCCGUUACCCUUCACUGGGCAAAACAAGUGGGCAGUGGACGCUCACAGGGAGCCACCGGACGCUCAACCUCCAGCGUCCGGUGCUCAGACGUCAGCCAAGUGUCACUAGCCGUUUGAGCUCAACCGUUGCCGCCAACGGCUACUGCGCACGCGCGCCUGCACAGCACCACCGGACGCUCUACUGCGUCACACCGGACGCGUCCGGUGCACACCGGACCCAUGCGCAGAGAGCUCCGCAAACACACCGGACACCGGCGCUUUUGAGAAGUCGCGGGAGUGUUUCUCGCUGAGAAACACUCAUCGGACGCUGGUGUUGGUAGCACCGGACGCUGGUCCAGAGCGUCCAGUGUGGUGUCAGUCUAUGGCACAGGUGUGCAGAGUGCACCGGACGCACCGGAGUGAGUCCGGUGCUCAGCGUCCGGUGUGCGGGCGGUUUAGUGACCCUCUCUGCGCAUGAGUCCGGUGAGCACCGGACGUUCAGGGUGCAUCCGGUGGCUCACGUCCGGUGACCUUGCGAGUUUGCGGAUCUCUCUGCGCAUGGGUCCGGUGUGCACCAGACGCGUCCGGUGUGACGCAGUAGAGCGUCCGGUGGUGCUGUGCAAGCGCGCGUGCGCAGUAGCCGUUGGCGGCAACGGUCGAGCUCAAACGGCUAGUGACACUUGGCUGACGCCUGAGCACCGGACGCUGGAGGUUGAGCGUCCGGUGGCUCCCUGUGAGCGUCCACUGCCCACUUGUUUUGCCCAGUGAAGGGUAACGGCUAGUUUAUCCCUUGGGGCUAUAAAUAGAAGUGGUGGUCAGCCUUGGCUGGUGUGGAGCACCCUUGGGAUUUAGUGUCCAUGCUUGGGGAGUGCUAGUGAAGCCUCUAACUCACAUAUGCUUGAUAGUGAUCAUUCGAUUGUGUGAGUGAGCAAUUCUAGUGUGUUGCAUUGAGAGAUUGCAUCGAGUGGCACUAGGUGUUUGUGUUGCAAGCCGGUGGUGCUUGUUACUCUUGGAGGUUGCCACCUCCUAGAUGGCUUGGUGGCUUGUGACUCUGUCGAAGCACGCAAGGAGAUUGUGCGGUGCUCCAGAGAAGAGAUUGUGAGGGGUACGGUGCUCACCCAGCGGGGAUCGUGAAGAGAAACUCUAGUUGAGCGAGACGUGAAGAGCGACAAGUGGUCCGACCGAGUCAAGUGCUAGAGCUUGUGGUAAGCACUCCACAUGGGAGAGUGUGACUUGCGGGUCACCACUAGCAAGAGGACCGGUGGCAACCUUGGAGCUUGUCUCAACGGGGACGUAGCUUGGUGGCAACCAAGUGAACCUCGGGAGAAAAUCAUCGUAUCAACUUUGUUCUUCCCGUUAGUUUGCAAGUCCCUAACACAAGCUUGUUCUUACAUUCAUAUACUUGUGCUUGUGUAGUUGCUCUUGUAAUUAGUUAGCUUGUGUAGCUUGCUAGUUACCUUCUUGCUUGUGUAGCUAGAAGUAGUUCCCUUGCGUGACUAAUUUGGUUUGUGUAACCUUGUUAAUCACAUUGCUUAGUUUGUGUAGCUAAGUAAUUUGUGCUCUAUCAUUUGGCAUUGGUUGCCUUGUUAUUGAGCUUGCUAGUGAGCUUAGGCUUUGUGCGCUUUGCCUCACUAGUUUGUGUAGGAGCUUCCCCGGUUUGCAAAGUACUAGUUGCAUAGGUUUGUGGACCUUGCUCCUAGAAUUGUUUAGGUGAGCUCUUGCUAAGGUAGCAUCUUGCUUGCUUGUUUAGGAUCUUUUCAAGGUGCUAGAGAACUUAGAUAGAGGGGUAUAGUCUUGGCUAGACCGAUAGUUUUAAUAACGCACUUAUUUCGGUUAGCCGGCACGAUAAGUUUUAGAAAGGACUAUUCACCCUCCCUCUAGUCCGCCAUCUCGACCCUUCACCAGCCGCACUUGGCGGCCUUUGGCCCCCGGUUUCUUCCGGUGUCUUCCAGAGUCUUCCCACGUCCCAUUUGUGAUCUUUUUUGUGGCAGAUAUGUUUUGUGGUAAAUAUGCACUUGAAUCCCUUUUUUCAGCUUUUCUGGAAUAGACCCUGGAAAAUACAGAAUAUGCAAAACUCGUGCAAAUUGUCAGUUUAAACCCUAGACUAGUAUGUUUUCAUGUUCUCCCUCAGGUCUAAAGUUAUAAUAAAAGUUGAUGUUAUCGAUAGUCAACAAUUCCCCCAAGCUUACCUUUUGCCAGUCCCUUGGCAAACUAAGCCUAAGCAGUAUAUGUAUUUGGAUCAAGAGUUGCUACAAUGUUUUUAUUCUUUCCAAGUACACAUGCUCCAAACCAAGAUUCUCCUCCAGAUUAGUCCAUAAUUGCUCUAAUCUUCAAACUUACCUGUUUUACCUUUAAUCAUGUGGCUUUACAGCUUUUGCAUGAAUCUUGGGCAAUCAGAAGACAAAACAAUCAGGUCAAGCACUAUGUCUCAAAUUCUUUGCAGAACCAUUAUUCCAGAGUUUUAUAAGUUUUCAGAAUAAAACUCAGAGCUUAAUUGUAUGACACCCCCAAGUCUCUCAUCGUAUGUGGUAUUUAUGGUUCUCUCUUGAGGCAUUAAUGAUGUUAUGCGUCCUAUAGGUAAAGGUAUAUAUAUGGUAGAGCUUAUAGGAAUGCCCAUAACAAGGAUAGGCAUACUUACAAUCCAUGUAUUGUAAAGUCAACUAUUGGAUCCAUAGAGAAUCGAGGCAUACAAUCAAACCAAGGUAUGCAUGUGUAUGGAAUAUGGUGGAUGGGUGCAUUUGUGGUAUUUGUGGCUAAUUUCUAUUUCUACUUUUGCUCCUUGAGGAUAAAUCUCUCUUUUGAUCUUGGGACUUUUCACAAGAAAAACAUGGACUAUCUUUAUUAUUAUUAUUAUUAUUAUUAUUAUUAUUAUUAUUAUUAUUAUUAUUAUUAUUAUUAUUAUUAUUAUUAUUAUUAUUAUUAUUAUUAUUAUUAUUAUUCUUCUUCUUCUUCUUCUUAUUAUUAUUAUUAUUAUUAUUAUUAUUAUUAUUAUUAUUAUUAUUAUUAUUCUUAUUAUUAUUAUUAUUAUUAUUAUUAUUAUUCUUAUUAUUAUUAUUAUUAUUAUUAUUAUUAUUAUUAUUAUUAUUAUUAUUAUUAUAUAUACCAGGGAGGCAGGCAUCUAGUACCCAUUGUUUUAAUUACUGGGACACUUGUCCAUCUUUUACUCCCUUUUUUUCUUUUAUAUUUUUGCAUAGCCACAUGUAUCCUUUGAAUACAAUAAAUGAUCAGAGAUAUAAUCAGGACUUAGAGCAUUAAAGACAGGAGGGUGAUUGUAUAUGUUUGUGUCCUCUCCCAGUGUAGGAGGAGAACAUGAUUGAUGGAUAUGGAAUGGAGAUGAUUGCAAUUGCUCCUAGUGUAGGAAUAAUGCAUAUGUGGACCGGAGUGUGUACGUGAUCUUGGUUUUAAAAGCAUGACAAGACUCUCGUAAGGUAUACUACAAAGGUUGACUGAACUCAAUGCAAAGCAAGCAACAUAAAUGUGCAAAAGUUUUCCUAACUCUAAAUGUAUAUUAUAUAUAGCUUUGGUAGGAAUUCAAACUUGUCAUACAAGAGCUCAUCAUGUAAAUUUUAAAUUUUUGAAAUAAAUCUCUAGAACUUAAUAAUGCUAAGAAUGAGAUAAAUAGCAGCUCAGACUUUCAAUGAUCAUAUCAACCAACUACCUAGACUUAGCUCAAACUUAUGCCUCCACAAGUUGCAGGUUCAGAGUAAACCUUCAAAUUAAAACAGUCAUGUCCAAAACUCAAGAGAAUCUAAUGUUGGAAUCUAGGUACUUGUAAAGAAUUAUAAUAGAGCAAAUAUUCAUCAUCUCUAAGACAAAAUUUUAAUGUUCAUCAAUUUUUGUUUAGCUCUAGUUUAGACUGACUCUAAACAGACUCUGAUACUUAACUUAUUAUAAACUCACAAAAAGACUCUAUGACUUGUGGACCUUCAUGUGCCCACAUAUUUUUGGUAUUUUUAUGACUAUAUAGACUCAAAAUCACUUAGGUAUAAUUACCUGAUAACUAUAGGGUGCUCCUCCGCCAAGCUGGAUGGUUGCAAUACUUGGUGUAGAUGUCCUUUAGAGUGAGCUAACCAGUAGCGGACCUGGUGGGUGCCACUGAUUGACUCUCUCCUUGCUAUGAUGUUAUUCCUACAUAAAUACUCUCCACAAAGAGAAACCAAAACUCAAGGCUCGAAUUUGUUAAUGGGUUAGUAGUCAGCCAAAGAGUAAUUGAUCACCUUUAUAAGCUAGCUUUAUUGUUGUCUAAUUUAAACAGGAUUUCAAUUUUCUCUUAUUUUUGAAUUUUCUAUAUGAUGCCAAAAUUUAAAUAUGAAUGCUAUUUUUUAUGCCACCACAGUAAAUAUUCCUAAGGGGUUACCAUAAGUUUAUUCACAUGGGGGGCUUGGUUUUUAUGAUGUAGUAAUUAAAGCAGUAAAUAUUUGUUUGUAUUUUGUAUUAAUGUGCUAAGAGAAAUAAAUAUCCUACUAGGUGUAUUAAAGAAAAAUUACUAAUACAUGCUAACUUAACUAGAUAACUACCAUUCUGAUCUUAUGGCUAGGGUACGGAAUUUAAAGUCUACCAAUAGGACUUAGAUAGAAGGGAACACUUACUCAGUGGGUUCAUCGUCUGAGGUAACCUCAGUCAACUCCCUGUUUCGUGGUGAUGCCGCAAGUGUCUUCUUCCAUCUUGUUUAUGUCUCUUUUGCUUCUCUCUUUUCUGGUUCUAGCUCUUCAGCUUUAUUCUCUUUCUCCCAUGCUGAUAACUAGGGGAUGCUCUCCCCCAAGCUAGAUGUUUGCUUAUGGCUGAUCGCUGAAGCUGAGUGGUCCUCAUGAAGGAGCUCAUGCUUAUAAGAGCAAGUUUUGCCUGGAAUGCUUCAAUCUCAUCACCCAAGAAGUUACUUCAUUCAUACAGGGGUCAGCUGUACGUUAGAAAGGUGUACUUCAAGUGAUGAAGAUGAAGAUUCCUUGGUAAGCUGGCUCUUGGAGUCAUCCUGCAGAAAGCUCUCACAAAACACCAAAACUCGUGGAACGGUGUUAGGAUAAAAUGUUAAUGAUUAUUGUUUUUAGAGGAUUGGGUGUUGUGGUGGUUUCAAAGUAUUUUAGACAACAGUAUUGCAGUUGGAUGCUCACUUAAUAUUUUUUUGGAUUUUAUGGGUUUAUAUGCAUAAAGUGCAAAUGCAUGAUAUAUAUUUUUAUUCUAUAGGCCACCACAGUGAGAACUCCUACAGCUUUUAAACUACAAGAGUUUCACAUGGGACUUAAUAUAUUAUUAUUAUUAUUAUUAUUAUUAUUAUUAUUAUUAUUAUUAUUAUUAUUAUUAUUAUUAAAGAUGAAUGUAGCCUAAUGUAGACUAUUUAUUUUUGUUAUUUCUACGCAUUGCCAAUAUAGAAAAGUAAACAUACUAAAGAGAAAUUAACUCAUGCAAUGUAAGGAAGUAGAUAUAGAUAACUACCGAUGUUACCUUACACCGAGGGUUUGAUGUUUUUAGUCCUUCGAACUAGACUUCUCCUUGCAUUGGUUCAUUGAGUACUUUGAGUUGCUCUUGACGGUAAGGAUUGAGGUGGUGCCUCUACUAGUGGCUCCCAAUAUUAGUGUCACCUUAUUUCUUUCUAUUGUAGGCGUCUCAAAGCCAAUCUUAUGUGCAUCAUUAUAACUAGUUGAAAACCUUCAUAAAGAUAAGGUAGAGAUCAAGUGCAUGGGCUCUGUUGGUAGGAAAACACUAACAGAACUAGAAAUUUAUUUAUCCUCUAACCUUGGGCACAAUAAGACUGAUAUUAUUCAUAUUGUUCAUUUCUAUCAUGGGUGAGAGUACUAGAAGUAUAAAUAUGAUAUUUAAACUUGUGAGAUAAAGAGUAAAGUUACUUAACCAUUAGAAUGGCUAUUUAUCUUUAUAAUAUAUCAAGAAUAAUAGACGAAGUAUUUCUAGCUUACUCGGUUAAGACUGAGAUUACAAGAAUAGUGCUAUGAACAGACUCAGAGAACAAAUCAUGUUGAGUUUAAUCAGGUUGAUCAAUUUAAGUUGUAACUCUAACAUGGUUGUAUUUUCAUUUAUUGCAUACCAAGAUCAAGAGGAAAUUAAUGACCACUUAUCUUAAGAUGUUACCUCAAUUAGAGCAUGAUGAAGGGUAAAUGAAUUUCAAUGGUCUCUCUUUUUUUUCUUCUUGUAUCAUAGGUUAUUCAUUAGCAUAUUGUCUCGUAUGUUGUACUCCUUUCUCACUCUUCAGAUCUUCUGCUUCUCUCAUUAUGUCUUUUCUGCAAGGGGUUAGUGGACAACACAUACCCGAAGGAAUAUACAUAGUAUGGAUAGUGUUUGCAUGAGUUAAAGAUUGAUUUGUAGCUCAUGUUUUCAAUGAUUCAAUACAAUUUCAAUUUUUUAUAUCAAGGUUAAAGCAAGGAUAUUAUUUUAAAGCAUACUCUUAACCUUGAAUUGAUUCUACAAAUAGUCUCCUAAUAUGAUUUAAACAUUUUUAAGUUGGAGGGGUUAGUCUAUAUGUACAAAUAAAUUCUUAUAUAAGUAUGCUUAAUUUUCAUAAUGUUUAAGUAAUAUUCUAAAGCAUAAUUAUAAUAGAAUAUGGAAGUUUGCAAGACUAAAGGUAUUUAUUCACAUAGAACCAAAAAUAUCUAUGGUGAACAGUUGACGGUCCUUAAGUACCAAAUAUAAUCAUCAAAUAAAUAAAGAAAAGGAUCCAAAUGCAACCAACACCCAGACUUAGGGUUUUAUGUGACAGAAUUCCACGAGUUUUGGUAUUUGUCUAUUUCUGCAGGGGGUUAUCAGGAAAUAUGGAAGAAAGGCCCACACGUCGGGUUUACAUAGAGAUAUUAACGUGCCGUGCAAUUUUCUAUCAUCUAGAAGACUCCAGAAGCCACGGGAACGAACGGAAAGGCGAUCGGGCCCGGGGGCAGGGCGCCCGCCCUGUUGUAGAGACCAAUCAGGUCCCGUCUCGUGGAUUACGCUCCACCGACCUAAAGGAUCAAGGAUAACCGUUCAAUCAAUGUCGGUUUGAUCCGACGGCCCACGUUCACCUGAGGGGACUAUAUAAGCAGACCCUCUGGCCCCUAGAGGAGAACAAGUUCAUUAUAGAGUUGAGAGGUGCCCUCGAAGGAUAACCUUUCCUCUACAUAGACUUAGGGCUUAGCAUCCAAUGUGAGAGUAGACUAGAUCUACUAGAUUGAGAGAGAUAGAGUGGAGGUGUAGAUCGGAGGAAGCCCGGCUUGUCGGUGUCUACUCCGAGGUUGUACCUGCGGGAUCAAGUCUUCUAACCCGAGGCUUGCUCCUAGGAUUCUUCAGUAUUUCGACUUCUAAAUUCUAGUAAGUUCUUGUUUUAUUGUUCUUUGGUUUAUGAGUUUAGUUUGAUCUCUUCGUGUAGAGUUUAGAGUAAUCAUCUCUAGCGUAAACGUGGUGUUUGGGCUAGGAUACUCAUAGAUAUCCUCUGACUAGCUAGACCAUGGUAGUAGCGAGGAACGUGACAUUUCCGAGUUACCUUUGUAGCCCAUAUCCCGUUAGUAGGAUCGAUAGGGUUUAUAGGUGCGGGUCGAACAUCCUCUAUGGUGUCUAGAUUCCGUGAGCCUCCCUAACAGAACAGUAGAUCAUCCUUACCAAAGUUAGAACGAGAUUACGGAUGUAGUCUUCUCUAUACAUCACUCACAUCGAGUCACAUUCUUCGUAGCCUAAAGGGUAGUAGCAAUAGAUUUGGUUAGUCAGAUGCACGCUUUCUCCCAGUGGUAAAAAUAUAAAUACGAUACUCUGGAUAACCUUCCGGGUGAAAUGCUCACCGAUAUUUGUGCGCUUGCGGAUCAAUUCCUGAUGGCGUUACCAAAUAUCAACAAGCAUUUCUGGCGCCGUUGCGGGGGAGAAAGACGGUUUGCUGAGAUAACUUUAAGUCUUUCUAUUAUCUUGUAUUAUACUUUUAUUCUUUUAUCUUUUUAUUUUUUCCAACUUUAUGGAUAACUCAAAUUCCAAACCUAUUAUUGAAUUUUUUGCACCUUCGGAGACCAGCCAUAGACCAUGGGAGUCAACAAGUCCUUUCUUUGCCCCUAAUUAUGAUCUGUGUCCAGAGUUGAUUGCAAUAGGUCAAAACCAACCCUUUUCUAUAGCUGAGGUCCUAUCUUUUAAUCAAGAAGAUAAUGAACUUUUAGCUACACCUAGGGAAUCUGUUAAUCUUUCUAUAAAUUCUGGUUUAAACCUAGCCCUACAAGACCAUGUUUUUUCUUGAUAUUUUUACAUUGGUCUUAAUCAUAUAACCUUUGGUAGAGUCUUUCUUUCUUUAUCUAUUAGUAAAGGAAGGUAUGUCUUCAUUCGUGGACAUCCUUCUUGCACUAGUCUCCCAGACGAGGAAAGGAAGUUUCAAUAGCUGAUUUCCAAACAUUUCAAUCCCAUGAUUCGGCUAUCCAACCCAUCCUUGAGCUUAAUAAUUUCUACUAUGCUCUUUCUCUUGAACCUCCCGAUGAUCCUAUGAAUCUAUCUAGACAUCCCAUGCAUAAGAGUCACCAAGACCAUAAGGAGGACCGAGAAGAGCAACAUCAAUGGCUAGAGGGCAUUAAAAAUCCAUGUGCUAUCACCAUUGAGUGGAUGGACAAGGAAGAAGCCUUAAUGGAUUCUGACUUAGGCUCAAUUUCAAAUGGUGAGUUCUUGACUCCCUUUGAAGAUGAGAUUCAUCCAACUAUAGAAGAGGACAUAGGCGAGACCAAUCUAGGAGAAACUCUGAACAUUCAGAUUGGAGACGAAGAUAACAUUAAUGAGCAUGGAAUUUAUUUCAUAUCCACUUCGUUUACUCCAUGCUCAUAUGCAACAUCUUCCCAAUCUAUUGGUCUCUCCAACAUCACCACAUUUGAGAUCUCCAACCCCCUCUUCCUUUCUAUUUAUAAAAACUUUAAAAGGGCGGUUGUCGAUGCAUAUGUCUAUAAUAAAUAUUGCAGAUCUCGUUGAGUUGAUCUUGAUUUAGGUCAGCAUUGGAGGGAAACCACUUCGCUGACAUAAAUUGAUGGUUUCCCAAGGACAAGCUUAGUGUCCUAAAACAAGCACUGAUCAUAUCGUAACAUGAGCUGUUAAUUAUUUGCAACAUUACCUUGUGUAUUGAGCAUAUAAGGAUAAUUGUAAAAAAUAUUCCUUCGGGUAUUCUUGCCACUAACCUUUCCAGGAUUGGAGCAAGAAGAUCGGAUGAAUGACAAGCACAAGGUAUGUCCAACCAACCAUCAUACAACAUUGAAUUAAAUUCAUCCAAACUUGAAUUUUGCGAAAUUCAAGCUUGGGGGAGUACUUUACAUAAAAACAUCCUUUGCCAUGUUGCUAUGUUGGUUGUCCCUACCUUUGAGACAUGCUCAAUUUGUUAAAUACUAAUCACACUACUUCAACUCCACUUGAGUAGAUCUCUAUAAAUGCUCUCAUGCUACUUUUGUUUGCUUUAGUAUAUGUCUAGGUUUGGAGUAGUUAAAUUUAUCUCUUAAUUAAUCAUGGUGCUUAGUUUAGGAAUGAUGAUCUUACUUCCAAGGGUUUUUAAAUUAAGCAUGGUGCUUAGGUUAAAAUGCCCUCCUAAAUCAAAUUAGACAUGGUGUCUAGGUUGAUUUUUGAGCCGAUAGUAUGCUAUAGUAGAUAUGGGAUAUUUUGUUGGACUAACCCCUGCAGGAAAACUUUCAAUAUCGACCUAGGAAGUCCUAAGAUAAACUCACAUUGGAGACAAAGAGAGAGACACAUGAAGUUUAACAAUUUACACAAGGAAGACAUAGCUCAUAAGAGAUGAUGCAUGGAGGGUGCCACAAACACGAUGCACAACCGCUAAGAAAGGAAAGCUUCCACAAGGUGAUAUUGUACCAUCACUCUUCAAGUAAGGUAACAUCUUAAGGUACUUGACUAUCACUUUUAUAAGCUUCUCCUUGGUUCUGGCGUUCACAUAAAAUAAAGAGACAAACAUGUAUGAUUUGUAACUCCAAAUUAACCAACCCAAUUAAUUCAACAUGUUUAGUCCUUUAAUCUUUGUUCUUAGUACUACCUUCGUGAUCUCACACUCCUAAUCAUAUAAGCUAAAAUGUGCACAUUCAAUCUUUGGAAGAUAUAAACAAAACAUAAAUAUAGAUGGAUUAUCUUUCCAUUAGAUUGAGCCAUCUGAUGUGACAAAUGUUUCAAAUGCUACACUCAUGAUCUUAUUAUCCAUCAACUUUGUCUUCCUCUCUAUGCUUAAGGUUAGAGAAGAACAAAUACACUUUUGGUUCUGUUGGUGUUUUUCACCAACAGGGCCCAUGCACUUGAUCUCUGCCUUGUCUUUAUGAGCAGGUAUACUUCGAGCAAAACCUGAAGGAGUUUUACAACUCCCAGAUUCUUCCAAGUGAAGGACCUAGAUCUACGAGCACAAACACACUGGAGAUACUGGACACUCAGGCAAUCACUGCCCUGAGAUGCUUGAGGACGUAAAUUACAUCAACAACAACUACUACUACAACCGUCCUCAACAAAAUCAAGGUUGGAAUCAACAGAGGCCUAACUACUCAGCUUGUAGAUCGGACACUCAGUUUCCCAAAGGAAAUAUUGAAGAACCUCUGCGUCCGAGUUUGUACCUUGUACGCUCCAGCAGACUUCAUGGUAAGAGAGACUGGUACUGAUGAGAUGGCACCCAUCAUCCUAGGGAGGCCAUUCCUGAACACCUCGAGAGCUGUCAUCUACGCUAGUGCUGCCAAGAUCAGUUUCUACAUCAAGGGGAAGAAGGAGACUUUCCUUCAAGAACAAGACUACACAAAUUUAAGAGCAAUCCCGACAUGAACCAAGGGAGAGGACCAACAGGAGGAACAGGAACAAGCAAAUGUGGACUGAGUCAGCUAAGAUGGUCACUGCAGCUCAAGGAGGUCAAGAUCGUCGACUCAAGUCGCCUUUCUUGAUCAAGAAGGACGACCCUGGUGUUCCAAGCAUCGAGUGCACAAUCAACGGAUACUCUUUUUAGAAGACACUCUACGACACCGGAUCUGACGUCAACAUAAUGGCCGCAGACACUUAUCAGCUCCUGCAUGGAACCAUGCCCCUACAACCAACAUACAUUCAGCUCCAGAUGAUUUUCAGGUCAUUAACAUGGGAGAAGACGAGUACGAUCCACCCACCAUCCUUGGAAGACCGUUCCUCAACACUAUCAAAGCCAUCAUCUAUAUUGGAACCAGAGAAGUCCACAUGCACUUCCCCUCUGAAGGCGACGCAACCGAAACCAAAGGAGGCAAAUCAUCAAGGACGGAUGGGCAGACUACGAAAGAGAAGUGGUAAGGACUGAAGACAUACAGCUUGAACAGAACUGUCCUGAGGAGACUGUAGCACCGAGUCAGAUGUGGAGAGAGAAGAUAGUUAUACACGAAGAGGAGGCGCCACCGAAACCACCGACUACGCCAUCCAGCGAAUCCCAGGACAACUGAAAAAACAGAGAGUCCCGUUCGGAGGACUUAAAAACACCGAACGCCUUGCCAAGAGGUAAACUUGGUAGUUAUCCUUUUCCCUUCAACUAUUUAAAAUAGUUUGCUUAGUUAAUCAAGUUCAUAUCAUCUCGAAAAGAAAAUAAAAAUAUUUAUUCGUUGCACUGCAUCAUAAAAUCUAAAGCCCCAUGUGAGCAGACUUAUGGUUUAAAACCCAUAGGUAUAUUGACUGUGGUGGCAUAAAAUAAAUAUGUUUUCAUCUUACAAUAAAAAUAUAAAAAUAAGUUUAUGAUCCUACUAAAGAGAGUAACAUUUAUUGAGGAUCGAAAAGAAAAUAAAAAUAUUUAUUCGUUGCACUGCAUCAUAAAAUCUAAAGCCCCAUGUGAGCAGACUUAUGGUUUAAAACCCAUAGGUAUAUUGACUGUGGUGGCAUAAAAUAAAUAUGUUUUCAUCUUACAAUAAAAAUAUAAAAAUAAGUUUAUGAUCCUACUAAAGAGAGUAACAUUUAUCGAGGAGGCUCAACAUGAUAAAGGCUAGAUAUUUAUGCUAACACUUAACUAGUCCACAAAGCUUUGUUGUCUAUUUGAGCUCCACAGAAUUCAAGGAUCAAAGAAGACUAGCAGACGAAGGACAUCCUAAUCGCUGUCGGGGUACUGCCGACAUUCAAAUAUACCUCUGUCACCUGCUAGCUACAUCAGAAGAAAUUACGUCAAAAUCCAGCUUGGGGGAGAGCACCCCCAUUUAUCCAGCUAAGUGUUUCUACUCGCGUUUAUACUUUACUCAAAUAAUAAAAAGAUGCAUAAUCAUGAAAACCCAAAUAAAAAUCUUGUGCUUAUAUAUAUCUUUGCUUAGUUUGCUAAAUAAAUAAAUAAAUAAAGUUUGUUAUGAACCCUCAUGAUAAGCUUUCACAUGGAAAUGAUGAAUAGUUGCUCUGCCAUGACUAGUUCUCAAAAUUGAAAUCUCUCUCAAGUUUAGGCAUGACUGUUAUGAAUUAAGAUUUGCUCUAAACCUGAACUUGUGGGAAGAGUACCUCAUCAAAAAUCUAAGUUGUUAACGGAUAUGAUAGAGGAAGGUUGAGCUGCUGUUUAUCUAUUCCUAGAGAUGCUAGAAUUCUGGAGAAUUUUAUCUUUGAAAAUCUUUAAAAUUUUGCAUGAUGAGUUCCUGUAUGAUGAGAGUUUAAAAUCCUACCACAGCCAUAUAUACAUGCUUAUUAGACUAUGAACCAUAUAAUUACUUUUUUACUGCUUAUGAGCAUUGAGUGUGGUCAAGCUGUGUAGACCCUUAGGAACUUGUCAUGUGGUUAAAAUCAAGAUUCACUUGCACGUUCACUCAUACAUGCUACUUCUGCUCCGGAAGUACGCAUCCACAUAUACCCACUCAUUUCUAUCUCCAAAUUCACCUAAAAUUAUUCUACUCCUAAUCCGGGAGAGAAUAGCCAAAAACGUUAUCCUGUCCCUGUUAUUCCUUGUGAAAUAAAUGCUCCAGUUAUUUUGGUUACUACCACUUGCUAUAUUAUUUUAGGAGAUGAGUGCUCUAAAAAAAGAGAGAAAGAAUACGAGGAAAUAAAAAGGGGCAAGUGCCCGGAACCUCGAAGAAAAGAAAAAGUAAGACGAGAGGUAAAAAUGGACAAGUGUUCGAUAGUAGAAUUAGGGGUGCAAGAUACCCACCUGAGAGAAAAGAAAAAGAAAAUAUAGAGCAUCUCAUUAUCCUCAAAAAGCUUCAAAGUGCAAGAAAGGUAUGUAUCCCCUCAAAAGAGCAAAAGUAGAAUUAGACUUUCACCAUUGUUAUCACCAUCAUCACCGUACACCAUUCAUUCGCCACACAUGCACAUCUUGAUUUGACUUAUUGACUUAUUUCUCUGGAUCCAUGGUUUGACUAUGCAAUAAAUGUCUUGUAAGUAUGUAUUAUCUGUCUCCCACCUAUGAGCUCCAGAUAUCAAAACCUUAUUAGAGUAGGGUGAGAGAGAAGGCAGUAUCACUAUGCCUCAUACCAAAAAUACUACAUACUUUGAGAGAAGGCAUAUAUCAUCACUGCCUUGGAAAGGAUCCAGAAAUACCACAAAAAAGAGAUUUGAGAGAGUCAUACAAGGAAUCUCUGAGUUUUAUUUGAAAAUCUGCAAAAACUCCAGAGCUACAGCUGAUCAAAGAAUAAGAGACAUGGCACUUGACUUGACCGUUCUAUCUUUUAAGUGCUCAAGACACAAGUGACGGUUGCCAGCCCCAUGGAGAAAGGUAAAAUGAGUAAGUUUUAAGUCUUAACAGUUUACUCUAACUCAGAGAUGAGAUCUCGCUUGAACGCAUGUGUACUUUUAAUGCAUGAAACCACUGCAAAAACUCUUGAGUCCAUCCUUGCUCAGGGACGAGCAAGAGGUAAGCUUGGGGGAGUUGUUGACGGUCCUUAAGUACCAAAUAUAAUCAUCAAAUAAAUAAAGAAAAGGAUCCAAAUGCAACCAACACUCAGACUUAGGGUUUUAUCUGACAGAAUUCCACGAGUUUUGGUGUUUGUCUAUUUCUGCAGGGGGUUAUCAGGAAAUAUGGAAGAAAGGCCCACACGUCGGGUUUACAUAGAGAUAUUAAUGUGCCGUGCAAUUUUCUAUCAUCUAGAAGACUCCAGAAGCCACAGGAACGAAUGGGAAGGCGAUCGGGCCCGGGGGUAGGGCGCCCGCCCUCCCCCCUUUGGCGCCCGCCCUGUUGCAGAAACCAAUCAAGUCUCGUCUCGCGGAUUACGCUCCACCGACCUAAUGGAUCAAGGAUAACCGUUCAAUCAAUAUCAGUUUGAUCCGACAGCCCACGUUCACCUGAGGGGACUAUAUAAGCAGACCCCCUAGCCCCUGGAGGAGAACAAGUUCAUUAUAGAGUUGAGAGGUGCCCUCGAAGGAUAAUCUUUUCUCUACAUAGACUUAGGUCUUAGCAUCUAAUGUGAGAGUAGACUAGAUCUACUAGAUUGAGAGAGAUAGAGUGGAGGUGUAGAUCGGAGGAAGCCCGGCCUGUCGGUGUCUACUCCGAGGUUGUACCUGCGGGAUCAAGUCUUCUAACCCGAGGCUUGCUCCUAGGAUUCUUCAGUAUUUUGACUUCUAAAUUCUAGUAAGUUCUUGUUUUAUUGUUCUUUGGUUUAUGAGUUUACUUUGAUCUCUUCGCGUAGAGUUUAGAGUAAUCAUCUCUAGCGUAAACGUGGUGUUUGGGCUAGGAUACUCAUAGAUAUCCCCUGACUAGCUGGACCAUGGUAGUAGCGAGGAACGUGACAUUUCCGAGUUACCUUUGUAGCCCAUAUCCCGUUAGUAGGAUCGAUAGGGUUUAUAGGUGCGGGUCGAACAUCCUCUGUGGUGUCUAGAUUCCGUGAGCCUCCCCAACAGAACAGUAGAUCAUCCUUACCAAGGUUAGAACGAGAUUACGGUUGUAGUCUUCUCUAUACAUCACUCACAUCGUGUCACAUUCUUUGUAGCCUAAAGGGUAGUAGCAAUAGAUUUGGUUAGUCAGAUGCACGCUUUCUCCCAGUGGUAAAAAUAUAAAUACGAUACUCUGGAUAACCUCCCAGGUGAAAUGCUCACCGGUAUACGUGCGCUUGCGGAUCAAUUCCUGAUGGUGUUACCAAAUAUCAACAUGAACCACAGGAGCAUUUUAUUAUAUAUAUAUAUAUUAGAAAGUUAGGUUUGAGCAUAGCGUAGGGUAGAAAUGACCAAGACAAAUUAGCAACAUGGUAUGAGAUGUUAAUUGUAGUUACAUGUUGAGGCUUGGACAAACGUACCUCAUAUCUUCAUCUUUCUAAAUAAGUGAUGACGAACUUACUUGGAAGAGGAGGGUUCGGGUUCAUCUAUUGGUGAGAGCUCCUAGUCUUGCUGAGUAAGGCCUUUCUUUUAUUCUUCGCCUUUUCACCAUUCAAUGAAACUAUAGAAGAUUACAUGUUCUUCACUCCUCAACCUUUUCCUGACUUCUUUGAUUAAUUUGUGGUUGAUGAGCUGGGGUCUAUUGGAGAUGCGAUAAUGCUCAUUUGAAAUUUCUUCUCUAAUAGAUUAAGUUUGUUCUUUCAUGCAAAACGUUAAUGGACACAUACCCGAGUGAAUAGCAAGAUUGAAAUACGGGUUUUGUUGUCCUUUUUUUAUUUUCUUCUAUGGUAAUCAAGAUGAUAUAUGGUUUAAGAUUAUUUAGCAUAAAUUGUGUCUAUUGGGUUUAUGUUGUUGUUGUAAUCUAGCAUGGUUCAAGGUAAAGAUAACUUGUAACAAAAGAUAAAGGGAUAAAUAUUACUACUCACAAGUUGGACUUUUUGUGUGAAGUUACCAUCUGCCUUGAUUCAUCCCUGGUGUGAACUUAUCUCUUGACUUUCUCAGAUUUAAUUCAAAAUUUUCCUAUAGGGGUUAGUCUGACAAAAUAUCCAGUAUCCACUACAACAUACUAUCAGCUCAAAAAUCAACCUAGACACCACGUCUAAUUUGACUUAGGAAGACAUUUUAAUCUGAGCUCAGUUUAAAAGUCUUUCAAAAGUAAAACCACCACUCCAAAACUAAGCACCAUGCUUCAUUUAAAAGAUUUAUGAAAGUACUUCAAAGCCUAAACAUAUAUGAUAGCAAAUAAAAAUAACAUGGAAAUAUAGUAGAGAUUUAUUCAGAUAGAGAUAAACGGGUAUGAUCAUGAUGAGUUUUUUUAUAAUGCAUGUGAGAUGAAUAUAUCAAAUGGAACAAGUUAUGGCUAAGGAAAUUUAAACUAAAUAGUGUGAAUAUAUGGAUUAAUGUAAACAUAUAGUGGAAUAUAAAAGAUAACUACUCAUAAUUAUUGAAGUCUAUGAGCAAGACUUUCCCACCUUUAUUUGAUCAUACAUACCAUGACUCAUAUUUUGGAAUUUGUGAGUGAUGCAACAUCUUUGUUCCCAUCACUUGAGAUAUGAAUUAAAGUCCUAUGAUGUCAACCUCUUUCUCCAACAUUGAAUUUGUUAUGUCUCUUCUUAUUUUGUGGGGGCAUGCCGGAAGGUCGUCAACCGAUCAUUUAUUACCCUGCAUAAGAUAUAAAAGUAGACAAACAAGGGUAAUCCUGCUUGAGUAGGGGUUAAUGGUUAUCUUGAUCACAUAAUUGAGUAUAAGUCUAUCAAUAUUCCUCAAUUGCCUUGCUACCUUCCCUGACAACGGCGCCAAAAAUGCUUGUUGGUAUAAAUUAACUGCACUACUUUAAAUAAGAUUUAAGUAAGAUUAUCCACAAGCGCACAGAUAUCGUACCAAUGUCACAUUUUACCCAGGGGGUUUUAAAUAUCAUAUCCACAAGAAAGGUAUAUAUAUAGGACUUAUAACUAUAACUUAUACUAUUGGUGUGAACGAUAAACCAUAACAAGAAUCCUACUCAUAACAGGGAUAAGUCACUUGAUAAAAGAUAUAAGAUAAAUAAUGAUCAGUCAUCAUAAAUAGUAAAUAUCAGAGCUCUUCUAGUCAUAGUAAUAGCUAGCCAUUGGAUAAACUCAGGAAGAAAUACUAAGGUAAUUCUAUAACUAUGUCAAUGAAUAACUCUAAUUAGUGCAAUUAUAUUUAGAAAUCAUUGUUAAGUCAACUCUAUCAUAAUCACAUGCAAAGAGGCAUCAACUAAUGAGGAUUUUAAGACGCAACCGUCACCUCCUUUGUGACCGCGCCCAAGCUCUCUUACAUAUGGGGGGUAGACUAUAGAGGAACUAACGCAGCUGUCACCUACGCGGACUACCACACGACCUGGCACAUCAGGGUGCCCUUGCAGAUAAACAAGAUAUCUAGACACCAGGUCUACAUAUUGUCUACCAUCUACCCACCAAUUGAUUGGGUAAACACUAUACGAGCAAUUACAUGGAUUCAAUAAGAUCAAACCAACUUUCCUAGACAUAUAAUCAAAGUAGACAAUGACUACUGCAAUUAAGAAUAUGUAAGAGAGUAAGAACAUUGUUGCCUAAAUUAUAAUAUUAAAUACAAUAAGAGAAAGGUACUAGAACUAUACCGAACUCCAUGCUCCAAACAGACGCCAGGGGCUCCGGAUCCCGCUGAAGAACUAGAACUCUUCUACUUCUAAUCUAAUUAGGCUAAAACUAUGAACUAGAGUGGCUCUGAUGAACUAGAGAAGGCUCACGAUGAAUGGAUCUCCAAAUGACUUGAUGCCUCCAUGGAGGGGGGGUCUACCCCUUUAUUUAUAGCCCGGUGGGAUCGACGUGCGCCGCAGGAUCAAACCGACUUAACCAAGGGCCAAGAUGACUCCUUAGAGGUGGUGGAGGAAGCUUCUAGAAGGGGUCCAAAACCCUAAUAGGGGGCACCGGCCGGCGUCAUGGUGGGGCCGACCGGCCCCACCUGGCGGCCUCUGGCCCCCGGUUUCUUCCGGUGUCUUCCAGAGUCUUCCCACGUUCCAUUUGUGAUCUUCUUCGUGGCGGAUAAGUUUUGUGGUAAAUAUGCACCUGAAUCCCUUUUUUCAGCUUUUCUAGAAAUAGACCCUAGAAAAUACAGAAUAUGCAAAACUCAUGGAAAUUGUCAGUUUAAACCCUAGAGAAGUCUGUUUCAUGUUCUCCCUCAGGUCUAAAGUUAUAAUAAAAGUUCAUGUUUUCGACCGUCAAUAAUUCCCCCAAGCUUACCUUUUCCUAGUCCCUUGGCAAACUAAGCCUAAGCAGUAUAUGUAUUUGGAUCAAGAGUUGCUACAAUGUUUUUAUUCUUUCCAAGUACACAUGCUCCCAAACAAAGAGUCUCCUCCGGAUUAGUCAAUAACUGCUCUAAUAUUCAAACUUACCCAUUUUAGCUUUAAUCAUUGGGCUUUACAGCUUUUGCACGAGUCUUGAGCAAUUAGAAGACAGAACAAUCAGGUCAAGCACUAUGUCUCAAAUUCUUUGUAGAACCAUUAUUCCAGAGUUUUUAUAUGUUUUUAGAAUAAAACUCAGAGCUUAAUUGUAUGACGCCCUCAAGUCUCUCAAUGUAUGUGGUAUUUAUGGUUCUCUCUUGAGGCAUUAAUGAUGUUAUACCUCCUAUAGCUAAAGGUAUAUAUAUGGUAGAGCUUAUAGGAAUGCCUAUAACAAGGAUAGGCAUACUUGCAAUGCAUGUAUUGUAAAGUCAACUAAUGGAUCCAUAGAGAAUCGAGGCAUACAAUCAAACCAAGGUGUGCAUGUGUAUGGAAUAUGGUGGAUGGGUGCAUUUGUGGUAUUUGUGGCUAAAUUCUAUUUCUACUUUUGCUCAAGUCUGCAGAGGCAGGGGGAGAGUCAGCAGCUCUAGGAUUUUCUUUAGAGAUGAUCAUGCAGCAAGGCAGCGGUACAUAUAACAAGAGGAGAUGCUGCAGCUGGCUGGGUAAACCAUCCAUCCUAGAGGUUGUCCCUGCACUCCUUUGCACAUUAUUGAAUUUGAUGACAGUUAUAUGAGGGACAACGCUGAUGAGUUUGAACUGAAAGCUCCUCAUGAUAUUGUGGAUUGGUUAAUUAUGCAACUAGUUAAAAACUUGUGGAGGAAGCUAGAGAGAUGGAUCCUUAUGCUCACAACAAGAUAAGUGGUGUUGAUUACCAUUUAUGGAAUGUCUUUCAUUCAAAUUUCUAUGCCACUGCUAUUCUACCAGCUAGAAGGGGCAAGAUUUGUGAGAUGCACUUCAUUGACUUUGAUGCUAUGCAAGCAAAAGAAGAGUCUAAUUUUGAUGUAGAAAUCAGAGUGUGUGAUAAGUUUGAGCUCUCUAGCAUCAUGUCCUUUUAGUAUAACUAGAAUAGAGAGAUUCUUGCUCAGUUUCAGGCUACAUAUUUCUAGAAUAGAGAUAAUGAUGAGGUGCAUUGGAUGACAAAUGGCACACACUAUAGGAUUGAUUUUUCUCACUUUCUAUAGGAUACUUGGUUUUGGACAUGAUCAUAGAACCUACUCUUGCAUUCAUAAUGAGAGAAGGUUUGAGCCACAUGAGGUGAGUUUUAUGUGGGAGGAUCCAACCCAAGUAAACAACAAAAGGACUGGGUUGAAGAGCUUUUAUUAUGUCAUGAACAAUCUCAUUAGGAUGACACUCAACCCAAAAGACAAUCCCACUGAUCUUAAUAGGCACAUCACCAAUGUACUAUCUAGAUUUCUAGAUGGUGACAGAUUCAAUGUGUCAAGGUUCAUAUGGGUAGAGCUGGCCUAUGCUAUGGAUGAUGGGAGGAGAGCACUUCCUUAUGCUCCAUAUCUGAUGUUUAUGAUUGAGAGAGUAACAGGUGUCAAAUACCCAAAGGACUGCUACCACACAGUAUACAACAUCAAGAAAACCAAAGGUGGUAAAAUAGCCCCACCUCCUGCAGUAGAGAGCUCUUAUCAUAGUCAAGAGGGUGCUAGUGAGCCUUUGUGGAUAGGUGGAAGGAAGAAGAAGUGUUUCCAGAAGUUAGCAGAAUGGGUGAAGGCUAUUUUUGGCACUUGCUCCUACAUGGCAUAGAAUCAAUAUGAUGUCAGGAUGGAGAGCAGGCAUGCAAUCAAUGCAGCAAGAGAGGUUCAGGGUUUACCUCCUCUUCCAUCUUUUGCUCCACCUCCUCAGUUCCCAAAUCUUCCUCACCUAUUAGACACCGAGAGUGGUGAAGAGGAAGAAGGCAACCAUGAGAGGUAGCAAGACUAUGAUGAUGAUCUAGAUCUUUAGGAGACACUUGGCAGCUUCUAUAGGCAGUAUAGUGAUGAGGCCAAACAAUAGAGAUCCAAUACUUCAGAGGUUGCUCCACAUCAUUCCACACGUGCUACACGCUUCACUGCUACUACUCACUGUGGAGGUCGUGCUAUUAUCGAGUCUGAUGAUGAUGAGAAGUGAGUUGAUCUCUCUCUCUUUCUCUUCUCUUUUCUCUUUUUGGUACUUGAUGCCAAAGGGGGAGAAAAUUAGAGAAAUUAGAGGGGUCAAUUCUUUUUAGCUCAAGAUGUUCCCUAUGUUCAAAUCCGUUGUUAGCUGUUAGUUUGUGAGCUUGAGAGUUUGAGAGUUGCUCAAAACUCUAUUUUAUGUAAUAUUUGCUACCUAUUCAUCUUUAAUUGCUUCAAAAAUGAACAUGUUCUCAUUGUGUGACAUUAGCCUAUCAUUUCUUUACUAGAUUGCCUCUAAGUUGUUUUUAAGCAAGGCCGGUAGUGUCGCCCUCCUAGGCUGGCAGUAGCUCUAGGUGUUCGGUUAGACCAAACCGAACCUAUCAGUUCCUCGAUCUUUUUGAAAGUUUGGUCAUCAGAAAAACAAGGACCGAUCGGUUAGUUGAAAAAAUAAAGACCGAGCAAUUUUGGUCUCGGUCAAUUCGGUUCAGUCUCGGUCAUGACCGAACAAACCGAACUAGCAGAAUUUGUAUCAAACUUUAGCAACAUGUUUGCACAAAAUAAUACAAAUAUCUUGGUUCUCCUUAUUAAAAUACUAACUACAGCAGCAUCUCACAACUCACAAGUCACAAACUCACAAUGACACAACAAAAACAACAAACAAUCAACUCUUUAAAAAGAUUAAAAUAGUUUAGGACUCCCAACAGAGAAUUUUGGUUAGUUCGGUUAACCGACACCUAUACCCAAACUAACCGUACAAAGUUCGGUUAGUUGGAAGCAGGGACUGAAUUUAUGACCGAAAAGUUUGAUCUCGAUCAGUUCGGCUUGGUCUUCGGUCUUCAAUUAAUUACGCCAAGAUUGAGCUGACAGUGCCGCCCUCUGCUUCAGCUAUUGGAUCCUAUAAUGAAUAUCCUGUCAUAUGCAUUCAUGUAUAUUCCUAUGUCACAGUAUGCAGCACCCCACAACAGCCAUGGACAUAGGGGAAGGUCCCAGCACAAAGCUAAAAGUAUGAAACUUGGUUUUCAAACCAAGAUAAGUAUUCAAGACUCUCUUGAUACAUUUAGGGGGAGCUCCUAUGUACAUGGCUAAAAUUAUCUUAGCUUUAUUCAUAUCUUUUUGUAAGCUCUAAUUGAGUUGUCAUCAAUCACCAAAAAGGGGGAGAUUGUAAGUGCAAUCAAGCCCAUUGUGGGUUUUGGUGUUGAUGACCACCGAAUUAGAGAACUAAUAAUCUUUUAUGAGAUGACAAGCAGGGAAUUAGGAAAGGAGGAUGUUGAAUAGGUUGAAAGGUCCCCAAUCUAAAAGGAAGGCUUUCCUAAAGCACCUUGGUGGUUUAGAUUUAUGUUUAUUCAAUAACUGAGUAUAGGAAAAGCCAUACUACUAAGAGGGAUUCUAGGUCUGUUGAUCAAAUCUUGAACCAGAUGCUCAAAUAUAUCACCACAUCCUCAACCCUCAGCUAAACUAGUAUGUUUCUCAAUAGUUACCCUUGGCUGGUCUGGCUAGGGUGGUAGUGCCGCUCUUAAUCUAGCAGUUGGAAGACCAGGGUAUAAAUACCCUUUCUACUUGACCACAAUAAUCAUCUGAGCCACUCAUGUCAUCUUCCUCUGUCCUAACCGUUACAGAACACUAGUGCUCACCUCACUCUCUCCUCCAGUGUUGCUCCUCAAGCUCUCAAUCAAAUCAUUGACUUCCACCAUCAUUCCUUGAGAGAAAAGGCAACAAACUUUGAUUGGAGAGUAGAUCCAUUGAUUCCCAAAGUCUAAGAGCAUUUGGUUCAUAUUUGGUCAGCGGCCCUAGAGUUUAUUACUCUUAGAGCUUGCUCCUAGCCAGCUAGUUGUUUACCUAGAGCUUUCCAACUUGUGUGGCAGCCAAGGGAAGUGUGUAAGUUCAUCUUGCAGCUAAGAAAAUACCCCUUCCUCAAGAGGUAACACUCUUGUUGAAAAACGAGGGAUAAAUCAUUGUGUGCUGAUUUACUCUAUGCUUACUUGUGUAGUUGAGUUGUAUUAGGGUUUGAGCUUGAUCUACCUCGUGGUAUCUCUUCUACAGAUUGUAGUAGUUGUUCUGGUGAAUACUAACUUGCAGGGAGCUAGGAAAUUUACCUGAUCUAGAUUUCCCAAAUUACUUUUCGAACAUAUCUUUGCUGCUCUCUGUGAAUAGGCCGGUAGUGCCGCCCUCCUAGGUAGGCAGUGCCGCCCUGUCCUGUGAAACUGAUAAAGUUGAAAUUUUAAGUUGACAAGCCUAUUCACCCAACCUCUAAGCCAUCCUAGACUACUAGAGAUCCUACAAGAACAAAUUACAUAUUUGGGUUUAGAAGAACAAUAUUUACUAAGUGAAAAUAAAAAUGAAGAGAGAAUGAGGGAAAAUUUAAACCCUAAAAUAGAAGCCUUUAAAAAGAAUCCUCGAUGCCUGGGUUAUUUUUUUUUGGAAUUGUUUGUAGCAGAUCCCUUAGGGAAUUAACCACAAAGAUAAAUAGGCAAAAAGAUUGGAACUCAGUCAUAUUAUAUCCUCGAGACCUCCAUCCAUAUGUCCUCUUGCCAGGUAAAUUAAUUAGAUAUAGGACAGAUAUCUAUGGGACAUUCAAAUAACUUAAAAAUGAUAAGAUACAAAUUUUCUUUACUCUGCUCAUCUUCAAAUUCUUUAUCCCGUGAAUCAUAGUUUUAUGCAAGUUGAAAACAAUAACAUGUCGAAUACUUUGACUUAAAAGUAGUUGCACUACUGAUUACAUAGGACACAAAGAGGUAAAGCAUAUGCAACUAUUCCAAAUACGAGCAAGAAAAGAUAAAUACCAUACAUCAGAUCUUAUGAUAAUAUCAGUUGCAGAUGGAUUCCUCCUCUGUGGUUUUGUAGUUGCUUAUUAAGACAUAAUAAUGGUUCAAAGGGGAGCACACAAUGCCUUAAUCCUAAACAAUCAGGUAAAGUGACCAGAAGCAAUCGGGUACACAUCAUAUAGAAUCAUAAACCAAAUCAGACCAGGACAAGCUAAACAAGAAACAAAGUUAAGUUAACAUGUUGAUUUGAAGCAAUCAAAAUACGCUUUGCAAAGCCAAUAAAGUAAAUAAUCUAAAAUAACCCAGAAUCCAUACGAAGAACCAUGAAAACUCGCCUCAUCAGGAGAUAUUGGAGGAUGACACAUUGGGGCUUCGGAGGAUAGCCAGAUCAAGAUGGGACUCGAAGACGGUGGUGGUUGCAGUGACACUGCUCUGACCUCUCUCUCACUGCACCCUUGCCUCCUACAUCCUGAGUACACACCGGUAGGGGAAAAGCGGUCCGCCCUGCUUUGCACCCUGGCCGUGUCCUGGCUCUGCCCUACGUCGCGCCACUAUCCACAGUCCGGCAUCGCGCCCUGGCCACGCUCCGGCAUCAUGUCCUGGCGGUGGCUCAGCAUGGAAGCAGCCAUUCAUGGAGUCAGGCGGUUGACAUGGAGGUGGCCGCAUGCCACUAAUCGCAAGCACCAAUUGCGAGCCUCCCUGGCCACGUGCCCCGGCCACAAGCCUCCUUGGCCACGAGCCCCCUUGGUUGCACGCCCUGGUGUGGAGUUUUGGUGGUGCCUAGGUGUUGCGCCCCGACAUGGCGGCGUCCCCUGGUGCUUUUGCGUCCCGUUGUCUUCCCUUGCAAAGUGUGUCAUAGGAGAAUAGGAGAAAGUGAAACAGGGCGUGAGAGGAAGGUGGGGGCAGAGUGUGUCCUCGGGAAGAGUGAAAGCCUAAGUUUGGUUUUGUUAAUUAAUGACACCAAGUUGCUAAUGCCUUGUGUUUAAGUGAUUUGAGUUAGGCAUAGCAAGACAUGUGAUGAAGGUGCAAGGUGGCAUGGAAAGGUGGCCACAUGAUUACAAAGAGAUGAAGCAUGGAGUAGAGAUCAUGGUGAUAGACAAGGAGCUAAAGCGAUCAAGACAAAGGUAUAAACAUAGAGUUUUGAUUUUUUCGGUCUAAGUUGAGUAGAGAAGUGAUUGACUGGAUUUAGGAUAGAUAGCCGACUAUCAAAAGGGGAAAUCAUGAUCAUCUCUCGAAAAUCAAGUGCUACUAGGUCCAUAUCUUGAGCAUAUGCAUUAGGAUCUAGUAAAGUGCUAACCUAACUCCUUUGGAAAAAUGUUUGUGAAAUGCUAACACACAUGCACAUUAUGGUGGCCACUUGGUAGUGUUAGCACAUUUGCAAAGGAGGUAGAGUUCCUAGGGUAGAGAGGGGUUCGAAGAAAAUGAAACGUAUAUUUUCUAUUACGUCGGUGGAAUUCUUUGGGAAGUCACGGGAGUGCCGGACGUAGGUCAUGGAGGCACCAGACACUGGCCUUAGCGUCCAGUGUACUGUCGGUGUUUGGCACGAGUAAGCAGAGAUCACCAGACUCUAAGCACCGGAUGCAUGGUGUCUUCAGUUCAUGCAUUCGGUGAAGACAGACUUCUACGAGGGUUCCUGACAAAAGCAUCGGAUGCACUAGAGAGUGUCCAGUGGUCAGCGUCUGGUGAUCCAGCAUUUUUGCAACUCUCUCUACGUAUGGCUCCGGUGAGUACCGGACGCAUCUGGUGCUCACUUGACAGUGCCCGGUGGUUUGAAAGUAGCCGUUAGAGAUUGACACAUGAAAGUCAAAUGGACAAAAUGUGGCCGUCAUCAGGGCACCGGACGCAGGGUUCCAGCGUCCGGUGACCUCGAGUUUUGCCCAGUGAAAGAGCCAACGGCUCUAUUUGUUAAGAGGGCUUAUAAAUAGGAGGUGGCCGGCUUUGGGGGGGUAAGCUCUUGCACUUUGGCAUACUUGAGACAUACUUUGAGCUAGAGAACACUCCCUCCACUCAUCUCCUUGCUUGUUUGCUAAUCCUAGUGAGAUUGAGUGAGAUUCAAGUGCAUUGCUUAGUGAGUUGCAUCUAGUGGCACUUGAUUCUUGAGUUUGCUGUGGAUUUCCUGUUACUCUUGGGUGUUACCUGAUGCCCUAGACGGCUUGGAGCAAUAAAGGUGUUGAGCUUGUGAUUAGAGAUUGUUUCAAGCCUCACCAAGUGAUUUGUGAGGGAUUCUUGAGCCUUCCUCGCGGGAGAUCAUAAUUGGCUACUCUAGUGGAUUGCUCGUGGCUUGGAGGAUCCCUAUCUUAUGAGUGGAUGUGCGGCACCCACUGAGGGUUUGGCUUUGGAUUGCUAAUUAGCUCGUGAUCCAUCAAGUGGGUGUAUCGCCACAACGAGGACUAGCUUGCCAAGAAGCAAGUGAACCUCAGUAAAAUAUCGUGUGUCAUCUUGUGCCGAGGAUUCUCUCGUGUGAUUGUGUUUGUGAUUGAUUUGAUAUAUCUCUUCUCUACAAUGUUGGUAUAGCAAUCACUCCCCACUCCUUUACUUACUUGCUUACCUUGAUAGUUGUGUAGCUUGUUUAUCUUAGUCUUCUUGUUUAGGAGUGUAGCUAGCUUUUAGUUGUGCUUUCUUGUUGUUACUUAGUGUUUAGCUUUCUUGAUAGACUUGUGUAGGUGGCUUGCAUAGCUUAGUUGUGCUAAUGCUAGAUUAGCUUCGCCAUUUGUUUUACUAACACACUUGUCUAGUUGAGUUUGUAGAAUUUUAAAUAGGCUAUUCACCCCCCUCUAGCCAUUUGGACCUUUCAAAGAGACAUGGUCAUGUAUGAGAGGGAGGUGGGGGCAGACAUAGGGAUGAAUGACGUGAGUGAUGAGUUUGAUCCGAGUGUUUAUGACUGUUGGAUGUAAUUGAGUUAGGAGAUGAGAGAUUAGAGUUAAUCUUGUCCCUUAAUUUCAAAAGAUAGAACUUCCUGAGUGCAAUUAUAUGGGUGUACUUAGUGUAGCUUAUGACUGUAGAGUAGGUUAUGAGGUGCAUUUAGUUAAGUUUACAACUGGUGGAUUAUAUAGUAGUGGAGAUGACUAUGGGGUUAUCAAAGUUUUUCUGAAUUUUCUAAGACUGUAGGAGGGAUAUUGAAUAUCUAGGUUCGGCCAUGGACGAGUGGGCAGAAAAUAUCUAUUGCAUUUUCAUCUCUAAAAUUAAGAUGUGAAGAUGUGUAGUUCUAAAAGAAAUUUAUUUCCUUUUGCAUAUGUGUUUUGUUGUCAUGGAUGCCACACAAAAACCUUCAGAAUGGAGUACCGUAUUAUAGGGCCAUCUCAAGAAUUUCAAUUUUGAUUAUCAUAGGGUCAUUCCAUGAAUUUGAAUUUUGAUUUUUGAUGGGAGCAACUCCCUAGAAGAUAUUUUUAAUCUGGUAAGAUAGUCGAGUAUACACAUGGUGGCUAGAAAACUAGUUAAAACUAGUUUCUCAGGGAGGUACCCACAACUUUUCAUUUUUGCAAGGACCAAACAAAUUCCUACAAGAGUUUAGUGAUAUCAAACCAAACAAAUUGACUAGAUUCGGAGCUAUAAUAUGAUGAUCUAUAACCAAUGCACCCCUCAAAGCAAACAUCCUGCUAUUUUGUGCCAUUGACCACUGGCCUUGUCUGGAUGCAUAUGUAUCUAACUUAAUCCAUAUGUGUUGGAGUAGACUGGAGUGAAACUUAGUUUAAUUUCCACCCUAAACCACUUCAACAUAGGUAGAUUCAUGUGAUAUACAUAUGCAUACAAACAAGCCUAGAGGCAUCAUUAAAGCAUGUCACAGACAAUCUGUUUCUGCAAGAGAAGAAAAACAAAUAUUUGGUGUAACAAAAGUUUGAUUUUAUUGCAACAUCAUAUACAGAUAGCAGAUGCUAAGGUUUGGGAAGUUGAGAACUAACAUAUAGAAGUAUGUACAUACGUCCUAUGAGAACUAACAAGUACACUAUAGAAUGAAGAUUACUGUCAGUAUUUUCUACGUGACCCAACAGAACAAUCACUAAGGUUGUUCAUCCUAAUAUAUCUCAUUCGAGUUCAUCACAGAAGUAUCAUACAAGAAAAUUAUUCAUGCCAUCUUGAGUUUUUCAUUGUGCACUGUGUAGUUCAUUCACUGAUAAGCCAAGCUGCUUUGACAAGAUUAUAUUGCCAUCAGGAUCCAUCUUAUACUGCGAAUGGCGGUCUAGUUGGAUUGAAGGGUGGUCACUAGCAUAUCUCUUUUCCACAGUUGUACAUACAUAGUAGACAGAAGAACAGGAUGGUACGCGAAGCAGUCUUGAAUGAGAAAUGGAUUGAGGAUGUGGCUUUUGAUACAAGCGUCGGGCUUUUAAGAGACAUUUUUCUUCUAGGCUAAAACAUCCAAUCGCUACAUUUCGACCUUAGUUUUGUGCAUGAAGACUAGAUUGUUUAGACUUUGGAAAGUUCGGGCAAGUACUCUUCCCGAUCGGCCUAUGAAAUAUAGUUCAGUGGACAUAUCACCUCCAACUUUCCCAAAUUGAUCUGGAAGGCUUGGGCCACACCGAGAUGCAAAUUCUUCAUUUGGCUGCUACUACAGGUUGGACUGAACUUGGGACAUGGAGGAGUGGUUCAUGGUGAUGAUGGAGGGAGGGACUAGAGAUGCACACUCGCUAGCCAUCCUGACGCUGUGGCAUAUUUGGAAAGAGCGAAACGUCAGAGUUUUCAAUGACAUAACAAGCUUGGAACAGGCUGUCUUCACAAGGAAAAGGGACAAAUGCUCUGACUGGGUUUCUGCUGGACGGUGGGCUCUUAGCUUUGCAGGGAUUAUUCUAAAUAACAUGAGUAAUUAGCAUAGACUUUUCUUAUCCCAUACGGCGGUCUGCCGUAUGAGAUAGCGCCUCUCGCUCAAUGUAUAUUGAAACUCUCUCUCUUGCUUACUAAUAUAAUGUUGGGUAAAUAAAUUUUUCAAAAAAAACUUAUUACAAAACAACAAGAGACCAAGGACAAAAUGACUCUGACACAAUUUAGACACGUAUAGUAUCAUUCAAUCAUCUGAGUCCCUUUUUUCCUGAGAAACACAACUUUCAAAUCUUGCUAUGUACGAGUCUCCAAGCCAUUAAUGUUGCAUAACUUUCAAAUUUGUGUUGCUCUUUCUAUUGCCUCGGCUCUUAGUGCAAUUCAUUUUUUUUCAAAUGCUUGCAACAACAUGUUAGAAAUCUUCUACUAUUAUAUACUACCAUGUCCAUGUAUUUUCUAACAAGAGGAGCGACAAUCCUAGAACUUGCCUCACCAUGGACUAAGUAACCGGUAAGUCACCGAACCACGUAAAAUCAUUGUGUGUCAUCCUCUACGUUGUGGUUUGCAUAUCUCAACACAAAGUUUACCUUCUUGCAAUAUAUCUUUCUUGUAUUUUAAGCUUGUGCCUUGUUUAUCGUUUCCCCACUAGUAUAUGUAGGAGCUCCCUUGCGCUUACUCUUGUUCUAGUUGCUUAAAUUGUUUGAUCUUGCCAGAUUUAUGUAGGAGAGCUUUUAUCUUGCUUGGUACCCUUAGUUGCUCUCUAUUUUUAUCUUUUAAGAGGGUGGUAAUAACUUUAGUUAGAGGGGUGUAGUCGAGGCUAGACCAUUUAUUCUCUUCCAUAUUUAAGUUGGCUAGUUCUUGUGAUUAACUUGUAGAAACAACUAUUUAUCCCCUCUCUAGUCGGCCAUCUCGAUCCUACACCGACUCCAUGGCAAGUUCCCAACUCGCAAGAUAGCAAAGUGCCAAGAUCGCUAGGCCAUGCAUGGUCAUUUUAAAUUCCACUUUGUAUUUUUAUGGAAUGAGGGGGGGGUGAAUAUGGACAAUGCUAAGACACAUCCUUUACUUCUUAAGAGGUAAUAUCUCAAAUAAAUCUAGGCCCUUAAUUUUUUUAUUUGUAGACUUUUAGUAAUUAAUUAGAAAAAAGAUACAAAUAUUGAUGAAUCCCCAAAUCGGGGACAUAAGCCUUGGGUGCCCCUUCCUUUUCUGUGGUCAGUGAAUAAUUUACGAGAACAGAAACAUGCAGCCGUUUGCAAUGCCUAGAUAUAUUAAAUUAUGAGAAUGUUUAUUGAUUUAAAUAUAUGUUUCAAACUAUGGGCGAACCGCUUUUCCCCUGCCGGUGUGUACUCAGGAUGUAGGAGGCAGGGGUGCAGUGAGAGAGAGGUCAGAGCAGUGUCGCUGCAACCACCACCGUCUUCGAGUCCCAUCUCGAUGUGGCUAUCCUCCGAAGCCCCAAUGUGUCAUCCUCCAAUAUCUCCUGAUGAGGCGAGUUUUCAUGGUUCUUCGUAUGGAUUCUGGGUUAUUUUAGAUUAUUUACUUUAUUGGCUUUGCAAAGCGUAUUUUGAUUGCUUCAAAUCAACAUGUUAACUUAACUUUGUUUCUUGUUUAGCUUGUCCUGGUCUGAUUUGGUUUAUGAUUCUAUAUGAUGUGUACCCGAUUGCUUCUGGUCACUUUACCUGAUUGUUUAGGAUUAAGGCAUUGUGUGCUCCCCUUUGAACCAUUAUUAUGUCUUAAUAAGCAACUACAAAACCACAGAGGAGGAAUCCAUCUGCAACUGAUAUUAUCAUAAGAUCUGAUGUAUGGUAUUUAUCUUUUCUUGCUCGUAUUUGGAAUAGUUGCAUAUGCUUUACCUCUUUGUGUCCUGUGUAAUCAGUAGUGCAACUAUUUUAAGUCAAAGUAUUCGACAUGUUAUUGUUUUCAACUUGCAUAAAACUAUGAUUCACGGGAUAAAGAAUUUGAAGAGGAGCAGAGUAAAGAAAAUUUUUAUCUUAUCAUUUUUAAGUUAUUUGAAUGUCCCAUAGAUAUCUGUCCUAUAUCUAAUUAAUUUACCUGGCAAGAGGACAUAUGGAUGGAGGUCUGGAGGAUAUAAUAUGACUGAGUUCUAAUCUUUUUGCCUAUUUAUCUUUGUGGUUAAUUCCCUAAGGGAUCUGCUGCAAACAAUUCAAAAAAAAUAACCCAGGCAUCGAGGAUUCUUUUUAGGGUUUAAAUUUUCCCUCAUUCUCUCUUCAUUUUUAUUUUCACUUAGUAAAUAUUGUUCUUCUAAACCCAAAUACGUAAUUUGUUCUUGUAGGAUCUCUAGUAGUCUAGGAUGGCUUAGAGGGUGGGUGAAUAGGCUUGUCAACUUAAAAUUUCAACCUUAUCAGUUUCACAGGACAGGGCGGCACUGCCUACCUAGGAGGGCGGCACUACCGGCCUAUUCACAGAGAGCAGCAAAGAUAUGUUCGAAAAGUACUUUGGGAAAUCUAGAUCUGGUAAAUUUCCUAGCUCCCUGCAAGUUAGUAUUCACCAGAACAACUACUACAAUGUGUAGAAGAGAUACCACGAGGUAGAUCAAGCUCAAACCCUAAAACAACUCAACUACAAGGAAAAAGUCUACAUCACCCCCUGAACUAUGAGGUGGUGUCUAAUUUACCCCCCGAACUAUGAAAUAGUCUAAUUUACCCCUGAACUAUCGAAAACCGUUCAAAUCACCCUCUUGGUUUUUUAUGGCGGUUUUGCUACAGUAAUCAUAGUUUUGCUAUAGUAACCGUGGUUUUGACUUUUUCUUUUUUUCUAUUUGUUUUUAUAUAAUCUUUGAAAAAUCAUAGUAAAUCAUAGAAAAAUUAUAAAAUAGAAAAAAUAGUUUUGUUGGACUCCACAUGAGUAGAUCUACGCAAUAAAUAUAUAAUAUGGUAUACUUUAGUACAAAUUUUUUCUGUAGCUUUAAAUUAGUUAGAAAAAUCAAAUUUUAUCUGUAAUUAACUAGAAUAAUUCAUAGCUGCAGCUUCUGUGGUCCAAUUGUGGUGAAAUUUUUUGGGUGGACUAAUUAUUCUAUGCUUGAACUAUACUAAAUAUUUCAUACUCAUAGGAUCAUGUAUAACUAAGUUUAUUCAGGUUUAUUCAGGUUAAUGCUUGUUAAAUAUAAAUAAAUCUAUAACUAAGUUAUACAUGAUCCGAUGAGUAUGAAAUAUUUACUAUAGUUCAAGCAUAGAAUAAUUAGUCCACCAUAAAAUUUUCACAGCUAUAAAUUAUUCCAAUUAAUUAGAGAUAAAAUUUGAUUUUUCUAACUAAUUUAAAGCUACAUAAAAGAUUUAUAUUAAAGUAUACCAUAUUAUAUAUUCAUUGCGUAGAUCUACUCAUGUGGAGUCUAACAAAAUUAGAUUUUGUAUUUUAUGAUUUUUCUGUGAUUUACUAUAAUUUUUCAAAAAUUAUAUGAAAACAAAUAGAAAAAAAGAAAAGGUCAAAACCACGGUACUGUAGCAAACCGCCAUCAAAAACCGCUCGGGGAGUGACUUGAACGGUUUUGGAGAGUUCAGGCGGUAAAUUAGACUGUUUCAUAGUUCGGGGGUAAAGUAGACAUCACCCCAUAGUUCAGGGGGUCAUGUAGACUUUUUCCACACAAGUAAGCAUAGAGUAAAUCAGCACACAAUGAUUUAUCCCAUGGUUCAGCGGUGAUUUUUUUCUAAAAAUUUGAUCAAAAUUUAAAAAAUUUGACUUAGGAUAAGUCUAGAAAUUGAUUCUUUGAUGGAUGGAUGGAAUAUCAUAUAGUGCAAAAAAUAAGAUAGUCUCACACAUGUUCACACUAGAGCAUGAUACUUUGGACUAUUUGCGACGAACUUUCUCUUAUUUAUUUAUUUAUUUAUUUAUUUAUUCACUUAUAGUUUUUAAACCUUAUUAGCUUAGUCUAUUUUUAAUGGAGUUUCGCUAGAGUUUUAUGAGCAUUAAUUAUACUGAUGUGGCACCAUAUUAAUAAAAAGAGAUCUGAAUAUAUUGAAAACCGUGACAUGAAAUUCCCAUCGAGACCGGCCUUAAAGCUAAUUUUAGCUCAUUUCAUUUAAGACAUUCUUAAGGUGUCUUCAAUGGUUCUUAAAUAGCUAGUUUAGGAAGAAUUUUAUUGGCUAUCAAAGAGAGAUCAAACACAAUCCGCCAAAAAACACCUUUCAUAUCGCACAUAACUCUCCAUAGUAGUAUUUAUUUAUUUUAUUAUUUCUACGUUUUAUCUAGUUAGCUAUUUACUAAUUGCUAUUAUGGAUGCUUAUAGAGAAUUUAGUCAAUUUAAAUAAUAGUUUUAUCUCUAAAAUUUUACGCUAAAAUAGGAUUAUUUAAAAAAAUUCGCACGGACGUGGACUCAAAGGAUCUCUCCUCCAGUCCUCCUUGCUCUGUCUGGAGCUGACUUUUGCUUAGCACCUUGGACGCCUUCGCUGUCCUUGCUUCCGCGCCCGCUCCCCGCCGACCCGCCGCUCCCAAAUCCCAUCCAAAUUCUUCCGCGUCUUUCAAAGAUCGGAUUUUGGGAGGGGCACCGCCCCCAGAUCGGGGAGGAAUCCCCGUUCGGUCUGGUGGGUUGGCCUCCGCUGCUCGCUUCUUUGCUCUUUUCUCCUCUCACAAGGGCGGCUCUUGGAUGGGCUGCCUGCCGUGCUUCGGGUCGGCUGGUGAGGGGGCGGCCAAGAAGGUUGGUGCGCGGAAGGACGGUUCGUCGGAUCGUCGCGUCACCCGGGUUGAAUCAGGUGCGGUUCCUGGGAAAAAGCUGGAUCUCGGGUGCGUCUGUGGUGUGAAAUGGUCCGUAAUUUCUUCUGACGUGGUCGGCUGGUGCGCCCAAAACCGGGAUUUGGGUGGAUAGUAUUAGCGAAUGAGCAAGGCAGUCCUUAAACUGCUUAUAUAUUGGAUUCAGAUAUGAUAGAGCUGAAGUUAAUCUCUCAUAUUUCAUUAGCAAACGACAUUUAGCAUUUGUGGAAUUAGUAUUUAUGUUGGGCUAUAUGAUGAAGUAAAUGAUGUUAGUUUACCUUGCUUGUGGUGUUUGGGGGGGGGGGGGGGGGGGUGGGGGGUUGUUUGAGACUGUUCUACUCCGGUCCGCUCCACGUUUUCUAGCCAAACAAGUUCAGCCCCAUCCGCUCUGAGGAAAAAAUGUGGCCAAACAAGUUCAGCUCCACCCGCUCUGUUCGAGGAAAAAAAUUGGAGUUGUGAGAGCACCUAAAGGGGUGCUCCACAAACUCCAGUUUUUUUUGGAGCUGCUCCAUAGUGGAGUUAGUGAAAUAGAGUUCGUGGAGUAGUCCCAAACAUGCCCGAGAGGACAACCAUUAGAGUUCUAUGCACCCUUUGUUCAUGAAGUAGCGAGUUUUGUGCAUCCUUUGUUCAUAAUAAAGUGGCUGAGAUAAUUACCCCUUAAACUAAAAAAGGACCAUGGCCAUUGCCUUGGAAGUACUAGAGUAGUAGAGGUUAGGCUCGUCAAAGAUAUGUUCUUUUACACAUAAGAAGUGAUAAUAUUUGUUGAGUAAAUUUCAUUAAACCACCACAUAGAUGACGCAAGUGGGCCAUUUUAGUUCAUCUCUCCCCAGCUAAAUUAGUUAUUGCAUGGCAUGCUGUUUUAGUUCAUUUUAGAAAGUUUUGGUCAACUCAGUGACCCCAACAAGUGGACCUUGCAUCCCUAACUCCAUAUCCUUGGCUUAACUAGGAACACUGGAGCCAGAUUUAUUUUAAGUCAGCUCGUUUCUUGUUUUAUAAAACACGCACAAACGUACUCUGCGAACAAUGGGGUGGGUUGGUAUGUUGUAUGUUUAUCUUCUACUAUUAAAUGCAACGGUACACAACUCUCCUGUGUGUUCACAGAAAAAGAAAUGAAAGUCAGACUCAUGACUAAACUACCACUAAUUUUAGCCCCUUUCCACAAACUACCACUCUUUUCCUCCUGCAUUAUCCUGACCACCUGAGCCAACUUGUCAGCGUCACAUAGUGCAAAACAGAGUAAAACAACGUAGUGGUAAAAUGUGACAUUGACGAGUGGGCCCAGGUGCUGAGGAUACUGUAGGAGGCAUAGGUUUAUGAGAAGCGUCCAAAGUAGUGUGGUUCAAUGGAAUGUGGAAAUUUGGGAGAAUUUUCUCUAAUUUGUUUGAUGAUGAUUAUUGAGCACAUAUCUGUCUGCCCCAGCCCCGAGAUUUCACCCUGCACACUAUGAUCAUGUGAUAUUGAUUAGCAUCAGUAGGUUCAGUUUUACUUAUUUUCUUUGUUUGUUAUGUAUUUCACCAGUAGAUUUAAGUUUCCCUACAUUUAUCACUUAAUCCUUCCGGUUUCAAAUGUCAGUUGUUUUAGGAUUUUAGGUGGUCAAAUUUCUUUAACUUGGCCCAUCAAUACAUGUGCAUGUGCAUUACACAGAUAGACAACAUAUGAUUGAUUUUAUUAGUUUUUUUAGACCAAAGGCAUUUAACCCUGCUUAUAUUGAGGGCAUCACAGAAGUUUUGCUGGGGGAUACCAGCUCACAAGAACGUGCAAAGCCCAGUUAAAACUCACCUCCACUUAAGACCACCUCCACCUAAAAGCAAACACCAAGCCCUACCCAACCAGAGAAACACUACCAGAAACAGGUAGGUUGCUACAACAAAAGACAAACAGAAAAGGAGGAAACCACAGCAAGAGAGCAAUCCUGAACAGCAAAACGAGAACAAGAAACAGCUAAGCCACAGCUGCUUUGCCUUUGGCCUCCCUUUUCUUCAUGUCUUUUGGCCGCCAGACCCUCAUCAUAUCUGUUUGACAUCAUAUUCCUGUCUAGGCACAUUUCACCAUCUUGAAAGUCCUUCCUUCAUCUUCAACAGGAAUUCCUCCAUCUUGUCCCUGUCUUCCUUCUUCACCAGCGUCUGCCGCUGGUUUAGAAAGCCAAGAGAUUUGUAAGCCACUUGUUUAGGAGAUUUAAGGAUUUUUUUUUUGGAGAAAACUAGAGCAUUUCUUGUUUUCCACAACGCCCAACCCACACCAGCUACUAUCACCCAUGAGGACUUGUUCCUAUCCCCACCACCUCUGUUCAGGCACAGCUCCUGGAAUUUAUCAAUGGAUGAUAGUAGUUUUGGCCAGCCCAAGCUGUUUCUCACCCAGCACCAGGUCACCAUCGCUAUAGGGCAUCUGAACAGCAGAUGACCCACUUGAUUUUACUAUUUAACAUAUAACUUCCACUAUUUCGAAUGAUAUAUUACCUCAAAAACACAAAUCAAAGUGUCACAUUGGAGCCUAAAUGGCUUACAUUUGGAAUCAGAUGGAGUACUGUGUUUUUAAAUUAAAGUCCAUAUCAGUGGGAUGGUCAAAGUUUGCUCUGAGAGGCUAGAUAUUCACACUUGAAUCAGGUGAAAAACAAAAUAUGUACACUGUUGUAUUUUUGGUGGGCUUGGACACUAUUAUACAUCAGUGGGAUAUUGUGCAUAUUAAAACUGUUAUAGUUUGUUAGUUGCAUAAUUGAUACAUGCAUAUUUCCAGUUAUAUAUAUUAGACCUUUAUUAAGGUCGGCCUGCAGGACCUCUCCCCCCAACCUGAUAACAACUCCUUUGAUGCAUGGUGGGCAAGAACAAAUUCUGGGGUUGAUGACCAGACAAGAAAAGGUCUCAAUUCCAUCAUCAUUCUGGGAGGUUGGUUCAUUUGGAAUCAUCACAAUCACUGUGUGUUUGAUAGGAUUCAACCGAGCCUAAAUAGUGUUCCGGUUUCAGUAAAAGAUGAGUUUCUCCUGUGGAGUUCGGCAGAGCUCGGGGAAUAUCCAAUCUCCUUGCUCUAGAGCUAGCCAAUGUGUGAGUUCCUCUCUAAUGGUCUUGGGUCAAGUUUGAAAUUCGAGAGAGAGGUACAACAUUAGAUGUAAAAGGGCGUGUGUAUGUGUGUGGCUGUAUGGGGUUUCUAAACCCACUCCUUUAUUCUUCUUAAUAUAAUGAUACGCAGCUCUCCUGCGUGUUCGAGAAAAAAAUAGGCCUUUAUAAGAGAUAGAAGUCUACUGUAUAUUUGCAAGUGUGGAACAUGGCCGACAAUAUUAUUUUACACCAGGAGGUGCAUCAGCACAGGUGGCACCUUUUUUUCUCGAAACACGCAGGAGAGCUGCGCUUCAUUAUAUUAAGAAGAGAAUAAAAGGGCAAGAGCCCAUACAACACACACAAACACACACGCACACGCGCACGCACACACACUCACAGACACAUGCACACCACCAGUCUCAAGGGUUACUAUCGCGCCAGAGACUCCAUUAUAUAACACGACCACAGCUGAGCCAAACACUCUAACUACCGGGGAGGAGGGCAGCCAAGAGGGAUAGCCCCCGAGCACAGGUGGCACCUUACUCUGGUUCCUAUUCUAGUAAGGCUGCAUGCAAUUCAUUCUUCUUUAGGUCCAUCAAGUUUGCGCCUUGGAGGAGAAUUUGGAGAUCCUGGGUGUUAUGGUAGGCAACACCUACCAAAGGAAACGGAAGGCGCGUGGCUGAGGGGGAGGGCGCGCGCGCGUGCCCAGCCCACGCGGUGUCUCAGCCGUGCGGUUAGGACCUAGAGUCCAGGAGGGUUUUGUUUAGAAAGAGAGAAAGUAGGAGAUUUGUUUCUGUUUUGUAAUCAGCCAAGACUAUAAGGCUAGGACUAGUCCCUUUAUUGAGAUUAAGCCUGGAUUGAGACUUUAGUCUCCCCUGGGCGCCAGGUCCCUAUUCCCUAUCUUCCUGUUGCUGCUCCCCUAGCCAGCCGCCGAUCACGGCGCCUCCCAUCCGCCGGCGUCGAACUCGCCUACCGCCGGCCACCUCUCAUCCCUACCACCUCCGUCCUCUCCCUCGCCGUAACAACCUGGUAUCAGAGACCAUGUAUUCUCCGGCACCCACCCGGCCCACCUCCAUGCCGCCAACGUCGGGGAUCCCGGUCACCGUGCUGCCACCGCCCAUCACCACCACUACGCCGCCUCCCACCACCACCGCCACCACCACCACAAUGCUGCUCCACUCGUCCGCCGCUGUGAUCGUCCCAUCCUCGCUGCCAGCUGCGCAGCCGAUCGAGCCGACCGCCGCCGCUUUCGGCAACUUGGUCGCCGCCAUCUAUGGGAUGCAAAAGUAGAUCGGCGAUCUCUCGAUCCGCAUGUCCUCCAUGGAGAGCCGCCAGCCCUCACCGCCGCAGUCCUAUCCCUACGGCCUGCCGGGCUACAACGGUGGCGGCAUCCCGGCGCUGCUAGCGCCAGGGCCAGCCAUCUCCGAGCUCUUCUCCGUGCCGCCGUUUCAGCCACCACUACCCGCAUCCGACGCCCCCACCCCUUCCGCCGUCGCAUCGCCGUCGAUGACUGUGGGCGUUCCCAUCACCCAAAUCCCGUUUCCCUACUUGCCAUCGCCGAUCCCCACCAUGUCCUCGAUCAUGGGCAGCACGCACCCGCCGCCGCCCCAUCCUCCUUAUGUCCCUGAACCCGCCAAUCCCAUUGUUCCUCGCUACCAGAAGCUGGAAUUUCCCACCUAUGACGGCAAGGACGACCCGCUCGGGUGGCUCAAUAAAUGUGAGCAGUUCUUCAGGGCGCAGCAGACACGCCACGCCGACUGGGUCUGGCUCGCGUCCUUCCACCUCAACGGGGUCGCGCAGCAAUGGUACCUUGUCCUGGAGAGUGACUGUGGCCGGCCGACAUGGGCUGACUUCCGGAGUCUGUGCCAUCAGCGCUUUGGACCGCCGCUCAGCACCAACCACCUGUCCGACCUGGCACUUCACGUCGACAGUCGAGGCAUACAUGGAGGCGUUCCAGGCACAGGCGGCACACGCGGGCCACCUCGCGCCUUGCCAGAAGGCGCUGCUGUUCACCGGUGGCCUCCCGGACCACAUCAGCAUCGACGUCGAACUCCAGGAGCCGCAAGAUCUGCAGAGCGCGAUGUACCUCGCCCGGGCCUACGAGCGCCGGAACGCACCAGCACAGCUGGCCCUGCCGGUGCCUCCUCAGCGCACCCCACGUCGCGCUCCAAGGCAGCAGCCUGCGCUGCUCGCCCCGACGGCGCCAGCUCCAGCGCUCGCGGGCACGGCCGCCGCCCGCGCGCGCCCCUUCAAGCGCCUCUCGCCGGAGGAGAUGGCCCUACGUCGCAAGCAGGGGCUCUGUUACAACUGUGACGAGCCCUACGCCCGCGGGCACAAGUGCGCCCGCCUCUUCUACCUAGAGGUCGCGGACUACAUCGUCGAGGAACCGGAUGACGCCGCCGGGACCCCGACGACGGAGCAGGCCGCGUUUGAUCCGGACGCGCCCAUGAUCUCGUGUGCCACCAUCACGGGCAUCCGCAUUGAGGAAACGAUGCAGCUCCACGUCCGCGUCGGCAAGCAGACGCUCACGGACCUCCUCGACUCGGGGUCCACGCACAACUUCAUCAGCACUGCAGCAGCCGCACGCGUGGGCCUCCAGUUCGGCGACAGUAAGGGCGCGCACGUUGUCGUGGCCAAUGGCGACCGUGUCGCGUGCCGUGGCCUCACCAGCGACGUGGCUGUGCAGAUUGGCGCAGAGUCGUUUCAGGUGGACCUCUACUCCAUCCCACUCGAGUGCUACGACAUGGUCCUUGGCAUCGCGUUCCUCCGCACGCUCGGACCCGUCUUGUGAGACUUCCAUGCCCUGCAGAUGGCCUUCCACCGCCACGGAUGUCGGGUGCUCUGGCAGGGCAUUGGUGCUGCCCGCCCAGCGCACCAGCCCGCGGUCCGCGCCCACGCAGGCCACCUCUAUGCCGCCAAGGAGACCGAUGUAGCGCUCUUGGAGCUUCUUCUCGAUGCAUACGCCAACAUCUUCGCCGCGCCAUCUGGUCUGCCACCGGCCUGACCGUGUGACCACCGGAUACACCUCAAGGCCUCGACCGAGCUGGUGGCUAUACGACCGUACAGAUACCUGCAGCUGCAGAAAGAUGAGGCGAAGCCAUGCUGCAACAGGGGAUCAUCCGCGCCAGCACCUCGCUGUUUUCGGCCCCUGUCCUGCUUGUCAAGAAGGCCGAUGUGACAUGGCGUUUCUGCGUCGACUACAGGGCGCUGAACACGGCGACCGUGAAAGACAAGUUCCCCAUUCCGGUCGUCGAGGAGCUCCUCGACGAGCUGCACGGUGCCAAGUUCUUCACCAAGCUCGAUCUGUGGUCCGGCUACCACCAAGUGCGCGUGCAUCCCAACGAUGUGGCCAAGACGGCGUUCCGGACACACCGCGGCCAAUUCGAGUUCCUCGUCAUGCCGUUCGGCCUCUCGAACGCGCCGUCGACGUUCCAGGCGCUCAUGAACUUCAUCCUCAAGCCGUUCCUCCGCCGGUGCGUCCUUGUUUCUUUGACGACAUUCUCAUCUAUAGUGUUUCCUGGACCGCAAACUUGCAGCAGCUCCGCGCCGUCCUCGACACCCUUCGGGCGCACCACCUCCACAUCAAGCGCUCGUAGUGCUCCUUCGCAGAACAGGUCGUGCACUACCUCGGGCACAUCAUCACGGCGACCGGUGUGGCCAUGGACACGUCCAAGGUGUCCGCGGUCCAGGCGUGGCCGCAGCCCCGCUCCACCAAGGGGCUGCGCGGCAUCCUCGGCCUCGCUGGUUACUAUCGGUGCUUCAUCCGCAACUACGGCACCAUCACUGCGCCCCUAACGCAGCUGUUGCGCAAGGCCGGUUUCUAGUGGACCGACGCGGCGACCGCGACCUUUAACGAGCUCCAGGCAGACCUAGCGGCUGCACCGGUCCUCCAUUUACCGGACUUCACACGGGAUUUCAUCGUCGACUGCGACGCCUUUGGCUUUGGCGCGGUGCUACACCAAGGGGAAGGACCGAUCGCCUACUUCAGCCGCCCGUUCGCCGCUCGGCAUCUCAAGUCCGCGACAUAUGAGCGGGAGCUCAUCGGUUUGGUGCAGGCCGUACGGCAUUGGCGGCCGUAUCUCUGGGCGCGCUUUCAUCGUUCGCACCGACCACUACGCCCUCAAGUUUCCUCCUCGACCAGCGCCUCUCCACGAUCCCGCAGAACCACUGGGUGAGCAAGCUCUUCGGCUAUGUUUUUUUGGUGUAUUAUCGACAGGGCCACCUCAACGUGGUCGCCGACGCCUUGUCAUGGUGGGACGACGACUCCCCCCUGCUGGACUCCUUGGCAGCCGAGCCUGCGCACUGAGCUCUUCGCCGACCUGCGCACUGAGCUGCAGGCGAGCCCGGAGCUGCGUGCCCGAUGAGAUGCCGUCGCAGCGGGCGAGCACGGUCCCAGCUGGAGCAUGCGCGACGGCCUCAUCCUCCACAAGUCGCGUGUUCGUUCCCGCUACGACGUAGGUCCUCGACGACAUCCUCCAGCUUGUGCACACCAGGGCGCACGAGGGCAUCCAGAAGACUCUCCAGCGCCUCAGGGCCGAAUUUUACGUCGAGCAUGAUCGUCGAGUGGUCCGUGACUCUUCAUCCAGCUGGCCUCCUACAGCCCCUGCCGGUCCCCUCCAGAGUUUGGGCGGACAUCUCCAUCGACUUCAUCGAGGCCCUGCCCAAGGUGCACGGCAAAAGCGUCAUCCUCACCAUCGUGGAUCAGUUCUCCAAGUACGCGCACUUCAUCGCGUUGGGGCACCCGUACACCGCCGCGCCCGUCACCCGCGCAUUCUUCCACGACAUUGUUCGGCUCCACGGCUUCUCGGAGUCCAUCGUCAGUGAUCGCGACCCGGUCUUCACCGGCCGGGUGUGGCGGGAUCUAUUCCGCCAGGCUGGCGUCCAGCUGCGUCUCAGCACGGCCUUCCAUCCUCAAACGGAUGGCCAGUCUGAGGCGGUGAACAAGACCAUCGCCAUGUAGCUGAGGUGCCUCACCGGCGACCGUCCCCGCGACUGGCUGCCCUGGGCUGAGUUCUGCCACAACACGGCGUUUCACUCCGCGCUCCGGACUUCGCCGUUCGCCGUGGUCUACGGUCGGCCGCCCUCGGAUCUCCUGCCGUACACGCAGGGGCGGGCCGACAUGGCAGUAGUGGAUGCUAUGCUGGCCAGCCGGGAUGAGUUCCUAGCUGAAGUUCGAGCUCGCCUUCUUCAAGCUCAAGAGCACGCACGUUGUACGCACGACGCCAAACACAGUCCGCUCCAGCUCUCCAUCGGCGAGUGGGUUUGGCUCCGUCUCCUGCAUCCCCCUACCAAGGCGCUGGUCCCGGGCGGUCUUGGGAAGCUUGGUCCCAAGUUUGCCGGCCCUUACCAAGUCGUCGAGAAGACCAACGAAGUUGCAUACAGGCUGGCUCUUCCUGCAGGCGCGCGCAUCCACGACGUCUUCCAUGUUGGGGUGCUCAAGCCAUUCCGCGGCACUCCACUGGUCAACGUCCCGGCUUUGCCCCCGCUACGCCAUGGGUGGCUGCUGCUGCGUCCUGAGCGCGUUCUCCGUUCCAGCCUCCGUCGCGGGGAGUGGUUCGUUCUCGUGCAGUGGGCCGACAUGCCAGCGUCUGAGGCCACUUGGGAGCACCGGGAGGAGUUCCGCGCUGCGCACCCUGACCUCCAGCUCGAGGACGAGCUGUUCCCCGAGGAGGGGAGAGAUGUUAUGGUAGGCAACACCUACCAAAGGAAACGGAAGGCGCGUGGCUGAGGGGGAGGGCGCGCGCGCGUGCCCAGCCCACGCGGUGUCUCAGCCGUGCGGUUAGGACCUAGAGUCCAGGAGGGUUUUGUUUAGAAAGAGAGAAAGUAGGAGAUUUGUUUCUGUUUUGUAAUCAGCCAAGACUAUAAGGCUAGGACUAGUCCCUUUAUUGAGAUUAAGCCUGGAUUGAGACUUUAGUCUCCCCUGGGCGCCAGGUCCCUAUUCCCUAUCUUCCUGUUGCUGCUCCCCUAGCCAGCCGCCGAUCACGGCGCCUCCCAUCCGCCGGCGUCGAACUCGCCUACCGCCGGCCACCUCUCAUCCCUACCACCUCCGUCCUCUCCCUCGCCGUAACACUGGGCACCCCUGAGGUGUAAAAUUUUCUUGUGGCUUGGCUUGCUUCAAAAAGCAGUCCUGGAUGGCUAAUCAAUUGUCCAAAUAUAGUUUAACACAUCCUGCUGAUUGCUUAUUGUGUGACCCAAGUUGAAGAGACCAUCCAGCAUAUUUUAGUUUCUUGUAUUUUUGCUCGGCAGGUCUGGACCUUGGUAUUACAGAAGUUUGAACUUGCGUUACUAGAACCUGGUCGAUGUAACAUGUUUCCCCAGCUGGUGGUAUGGUGCUACCAAGAAGAUACCUAAAGGAUAACACUUUAGUCAUCCUAGUAGCUUGGUAAAAAUGGAAGCAUUGAAAUGCAUGUGUGUUAGGCUGUUAGCUCAAAUGCGCAAAUGAUUUUACAGGCGGUGAGUACUGCCUUUGGUGCUUUGCAGGAGCUUCUGCUCUCCAGGAGCUGCUCCUUUGGUUGCCCCCCGGAUUAGGUUUGAGUUUUCCUGGUUGUUUGUAUUUUUUCAUGGUCUUUAUUUGUUUUGUUGUUUGUAUUUUUUCAUGGUCUUUAUUUGUUUUAGGUGUGGUUGUGUGAGUUGGGAGUUUCGGGGUGUUUCUGGGAGAAGGCUCCAUGCCCUCUCCUCUAGUGUUCUUUCUUCCAUCUUAAUGAAAUGGCACACAGCCCUCCUGCAGUGUUCGAGAAAAAAAAUUACUGUAAGGUAUCUCUACCUAAUACUAUCAAAAGCAAUAAGGUUUCUUCUUCCGUUGCUUCUAGAAGCCUUCUUGAACUGUGCACAUCAACAGCCAUGUUGUUCCCUGUCUUUCUGUUAUCAUCCAUGACAGCUUGGAACUAAAGUUGUUUCCGUGCAAAGCUCAGAAACUAUCCUUUGUAUGCCUUCUAUGAUUCUAUCCAGUAAGAAUCAAAACACAAACCAUAUUCUAUCAAUGCUUGCUGGUCAAGCAGUCCAUGUACCCAACAGCAAACCUCUUACGCACACAUGCAUGCAGACCCGGUCGGCAUGUUCCAGCCUGACACAGCAUGUUAUUAGGGCGUUUUUUACAAAAGAUGCUGCUAUGGCGUUUUUUUACGAAAGAAGAGAUCUGCGAGGGGAAAGGAUCAAAGUAAGCUGCGCUGUGUGCUUGAGCACAUGAGUCUCUUACGGUAUUAGGGCUGGGAGUGCUGGUUGAGGUUAAAGUGUGCUGGACCAGGAAGAUGUGGCCCAAGUUGACUUUUUUUUAUUCAUUUUAUUGUCUUUUUUUUUUCUUUCCCUUUUUUCCUUUUAAAACAUGUAAUUUAUGUAUGUGUCGGGUUAGUCAAAUAAAGAUGUGGUUCACCAAAGGUUGGGUCAUCGGCCCCAUAAACUUGGGUUGGGUUUGCAUACCGCGUCCUAAAUUAUCAUCCAAUGAUAUAUUCUAUUUUCUAAAUAUUGACCGUAAGAUCGUUACUCGUAGCAAUGCAUGAGCAUGUUGCUAAGUGCUCUAGCAUCAACUUAUUCCGAAAUACUUGAUGUAUGACCUGUCUUGUUGCACUGAAUUUCUUUUAGUUUUCAUUUACUACUUUAACUUUGCAUAUUUGGUUGUAGUUCAACUUGUUUAUGUUGAACCCUUUAAGCUGGAUGCAACCUAACUCUAGACUAACUUCUGCUUUAGAUAAAUCAAAAGCACAGGGUGGACCAGACUCUAAGAAGGAUGCAGUCAUCCUGAGGGAUGAGAACAAUCAACAUAUUGCAGCACACACUUUCACUUUUCGUGAACUUGCGGCUGCCACUAAGAACUUCAGACAAGAUUGCUUAUUGGGUGAGGGAGGUUUUGGUCGUGUUUAUAAAGGACGUUUGGAGAAUGGGCAGGUUUGUGAUUCGAAAUGCUUGGAUGCUUAUGAAUUCCAUUUUUCUUAUAUUGAUCCUCUCGUAUUUUACAAUAUGGUUGACACAUAGGUGAGAAUACCUUUUCUUUAGUGUAACUCUUAACCAAACUACACCAUGCAGGUUGUUGCAGUGAAGCAACUUGAUCGCAAUGGUCUUCAAGGAAACAGGGAGUUUCUGGUUGAGGUUCUAAUGCUUAGUCUGUUGCACCAUGACAACCUAGUCAACCUAAUUGGAUACUGUGCUGAUGGGGACCAACGUCUUCUUGUAUACGAGUUUAUGCCAUUGGGAUCACUUGAGGAUCAUUUGCAUGGUUAGUUUGCUAUAGUUAUGAACAUUUAUUACUAAGACACACUUAUCUUGAAAGAGUUCUAUUAAAUAGCAUCAAUCAACAGAUCUUCUUUGAGAAAUCUAAAUGGACCUAGGCAUAAUCGCAUCACUUAGAGGCAGUUCUAAUAUUCAUCAGUCUACAUUUGAGAUGCUUUGUUUUGUGGAGAAGAUGGGCAUGUAUCCAUGUUAUUUCUUAGUGAACAUUCAGUACUUGAAUUUUGCAGUUCUAGAGUUUCUUUAGAUCACCAUCCAGGAAUGAAAACCUUUUUUUCAUUUCACUUUAAUUAUGACUUGUGGGAACUCUUAAUUUUUUCUUGAAAAAUAUAUUCACACAUUUAUUUUUGUGAGAGAAUAUGUCAAGGGGAAAUCGUAGAUUGAUUAAUUGAGGAGCAAGGCUACAAAAUAUAUAGGCAAGGAUGCCUUAGUAUGGCCUAUGGAAACAGAACCAAUCUACGGUAAUCCUUGCCUAAUACAACUUGCAAUGCACCAGGGAAGAUCAUGCAGGGCCUGCAAGGCUGGCAACAGAUCACACCCAUGAGGCCAAUAGGCCUGGGCGACUAGGCCUAUAGAGGAUGGACUAACAGCCCAAUCUAUAUAGUCUAACAAUUCUCAUAUGUCAAAAUUUUCCUGAAUAAAAUUUAAUUAUAUAAUUGACUUUUAUGUUAGAUAUUCCACCUGAAAAGGAACCUCUGGACUGGAAUACACGUAUGAAGAUUGCUGCUGGUGCCGCCAAGGGCUUAGAGUACUUGCAUGAUAAGGCAAGUCCUCCUGUUAUUUACAGGGAUUUCAAGUCCUCAAACAUUCUACUUGGUGAAGGGUUUCAUCCGAAGCUAUCAGACUUUGGACUUGCCAAACUUGGUCCUGUUGGUGACAAGACUCACGUUUCAACACGUGUUAUGGGAACUUAUGGCUACUGUGCUCCAGAGUAUGCAAUGACAGGGCAGCUUACAGUUAAAUCUGAUGUAUAUAGUUUUGGUGUUGUGUUCCUUGAACUGAUUACUGGCCGCAAAGCAAUUGACAACACAAAACCCCACGGAGAGCAAAACCUAGUUGCAUGGGUAUGUUUGUUGUCUACUUAAUUUUCUUCAUAAAAUUAAUCAUUUGCCUUCAGUUUACCAAUGAAAAGGUCACACAGUCAUUGCAUUUCUUGAGAUAAAGUGAAUACAAUUAUAUAAUAGUGCAUCUAAUAAAAAAUACAGCAAGAUUUUGUCAAAAGAAUUAUUAUAGGAUAAACUGUUUUCCUGAUCUUGAACAAUAAGACAGUUCCAACAAAAAGAAACAGAAUAGGUCAGUGCAGCCUGUUUAGUCAGCAGAACAAAUGCCCAACCAAGGAGUUUUUAGGAAGCCACAUAGAUUGUUGCAGUCUAGCAAAUCAGUUUCUUUGAGCUACUCUGCUAUGGUUUUCCCUUUCACUUUUGUUUGAUUGUUCUAUUUCUUUUAACCCCUUUUCAUGUGAUCAGUAUUUAUGGUGAUGGACUUCUAUCUUGUGCUACUUCGUAAACCAUUUCCUUUUCUUUUUCCAUUCCUUGAGCACUAUCUCUAAAUUCUAUAGCAUGAUACCAUUGCUAUACUUGAUCGAAUUAUUUUUUAAACGGUAUAGAAUGCUUGUGACAUCAGUAGUUCCUCCGUAGAAGUAUUCAGUUGGUGCCAUAUCAUGCGUGGAAUUAGUUAUACCAAAAAUUGUCUUCUGCAUAUUCUCAGGCUGCUUAGUCUUAUAUAAACAUUAAUAUGGAUAUGUUCUGAAUUAUAAGUUUGGUACCUGGUUUAUUUCAAUUUUUUUUGCAGGCUCGUCCUCUAUUCAAGGACCGCAGAAAAUUUCCUAAAAUGGCUGAUCCAUUACUUCAGGGUCGCUUCCCCAUGAGGGGACUGUAUCAAGCUUUAGCUGUUGCUGCAAUGUGUUUGCAAGAGCAGGCUGCUACUCGCCCCUUUAUAGGUGACGUGGUCACUGCUCUGUCAUACCUAGCUUCUCAGACAUAUGAUCCAAAUGCGCCUGUUCAACAUAAUCGGAGUAAUUCAUCUACUCCGAGGGUUAGCCGAGGUGGCGGGAGCAAUGACCAACGCCGUCUCCGCUCACCGAAUCACCAUUCUCCAGAUUUGAGAAGGGAAGCCACCGCAGCAUCAAAAUACGAAGCUGAGGUUAGCAGGACAAACUCUGGUAGUGGUUCUGGUCGCCGGUCUGGCUUGGAUGAUGUGGAUAUGUCAGGUUCACAAUUGGGUAGUCCUGCUCACGCAGGAAGGAAGAGGGGAUCUCCUAGGACUGCUGAAAGCCAGCGUGCUAUAGCAGAGACCAAAACUUGUGGGGAAAAAUCAAGAGGGAGAAAGUGACCAAACUCUCAGAGCAGCAUUGAAUGUAUGAGCAGAAUGCUGAAGCAGAAGGUUCAUCCACUCAUCAUUCAGAAAGAAAAGAUGAGUUCCUUGCUAGCACCAAACAGGACAUCUUGGUCCCUUGGUCUUUGUGAAUAGAGCUUUCCCCUUUUCCCUUCACCGGCUGUUGUCACUGCUUCGUGACUUCUCCAUACAAAUAUCAUUGCCACCACAACCACCAUCAAAACUCCCAUUCCUGGCAUCUAUUCCUCAUGAAUGUGAUCAUCAUGCUAUGAGCCUUUGUCAUCACGGUGUAUAACAACAUUCGGUUCAAAAUAUUGAGGUGAGGCAAAAAUCUGCACUGGGGAGCACAGGAUCUCACCCAGUGGGUAUCUUCUGUUGCUGUUGCAUGAUGGGUGUCAGCAAUCACACCAUUGUCGAGGGAUGUGAUGUUCUUUUCUUGAAUGGUUUGUACCUGGGGUUACAGCAGUCCACCUGUGUUUGAUACAUCUGUCUUGUAACAUUUUUGUGUUGAGUUGUCAGAACACAUCCUUUAUGCUCUCUGCACCAAAAAACUGUCGUGCCCCUUUCAUCAUAUCUUAUGC